GUCUUGGCAAAUCCCGAUGCCUAAAACUGUGCUUUCAUGGCGUUAAUGGUGUGUGGUUUGGAUAUUUCAUAUGUUGUGUUACUCAAAAGCAGUGUUUGAUUGGGUAAUAAGUGAUUUGUCUCUCUAGAUUUGAUCAUCUCUAUUUCUAUUGUAAUAAAAGUCUUUGGAGUUGUUAUUAUGUUUGAUAUAUGAGAGUGAAGAAUAUACUUGCAGGUUUUCUUUAGGUGCCUCGUAUACUGCUUUUUACAAAUUUCUUAAUUUUAAAAAAGAAAAACAAAAUUACAAAUAGCUACAUUAUAAGCACAUUAAUUCAGAGUCGAAUGUUCAGAUUCAAAUAAUUCUUAAUAUUAACUUAGCAAAGAUAAUUAUUAUCAACGAUUGCUGAUUGCAUGAACUAGUGAAAAUUAUUUAACUAAAAUUGGGUGCGGUACGCCGGGCCCACGCAAUAGUGCAAAACCAGGGCAACGAUCGAGAGCCCAAGUAGCAAGCUACGGUGAUGGACUCUCCCACUUAAAAAAUAAAUUUAAUAUCUUGUGAUCCAAUGGAUCACGUAUCAGAUAUUAAACUGAUAAGAACAGAUACUACACUUGAUCUUAGCCAAAAUGCCGAGAAAGGUAUGCUUUCAAUCAUCAAGCAUCAGGCAAUUUAAAGCCUGCUUCUCGCCUGUUCUUUCGUACUCUUCCUGAUGUGGGAUUUUAUGCAAAUCAGCUAUAAAAGAGCCGCCUACUGGUGCUCCUAUAAAGACUGAAUCCUUCCUGAAUAGACUGGUUCUGGGCCACUUAGGAUUUGAAUCAACAACCAAGGCACCUUUCAACAAGAAAACCACUGCAUUUGCAAUUUGUAAAACACACCACGAAUAGGAUUAUGACUCUGCUCAACGAAAGGCUAAAAUGACUCAUUUUAUAAAGUUAGUGGACUAAAUAAGUUAUUAUGUAAAAAAAAAAUUAAUAUUUGAAUUAGGGGUGACCGUUUGAAUGAAUCGAGUUAAAAAGUUCGAGCUGACGAGUCUUAUUUUAUCAUCUUAACUUGAUUUGAAUUUUUUUCCGAAUUGAAUCGAGUAAAAUGAAAUUCGAGUGAGUUGAAUCGAAUAAAAUUGUUCGAGUUAAAUUUAAAAAAAUUAAACAUGUCAAAUUAAAAUUUUAUUACAAUAUUCAAAUUUCAUGUUACAACACAUAAAUUUGAAACCAUAUAUUUUUUAAAACUCAUUCAAAGCAACAUAAGAGGGAAAAGAAAGAUACUUUAGUAUGAUAAACUUGAAUCAUUAAUUUAUAAGGUCCCAAAAAUUAUUAUUUUAGAUUCGUUUUUAUAUUCUUUAGAUUUUUUUUUUUAUUUUUGUAAUAUUUUAAAAUUUUUAUAAAUAUAAUAUUUAGAAUUUUAAAAUUUAUUUUGAAUUAUUUUGUAAUUAUUGUUGAGAGAGACCAAUUUGUUCAUUUCCAAAAUUGAAAAAGAUCAAAUGUGUAUUGCACCAAUUAGCUAUUUGAGUUAUUCGAAUUGUAAAAUUUAACUCAACUCGAACUUGAAACUCUAAUUACUUAUUUGAGUUGACUCAAAAAAAAACUGAAUGACUCAAUUCAAUUAACUUAGAAUUCAAAUUUUUUUAGUUGAAUGCUAAACCCUACUUUGGCUUACCAAAACUUUGAAAAACAAACACUGCAUUUGCAAUCUCUAAAUCACACCAGGAAUAGGAUUAUGGCUCUGCUCAAAGAAGAAACAAUGGCAAAAGCAUUAGUUUUAUCUAUGUUGAACUGGAAGUCCUUGUACAACAUUGUUUCCAGGAUAGAAGUCUUCCGCUUUGGAUCAUCGCAGACGAACCUUCCCAUAAACAAACAGUACACAGUUCUGUAUCAGACACCUUUUCUUUCAUUGUAAAAAGCAAGUUUAGAUUGAAUCCCAAUCAAAUACGUGAACAUGCUGCUUCGGUUCGCAUGUGACACUCUGCCAGGCAAUAGGCAAGCCAUCCACAAGUUGUAAUUUCAAUGGUUUACUUUCUUUCUUGUUUCCGUCUCCUAUAUCUUUUGUUUUAUUAUUCUUUUUCUAUUCUACAGCUUUGGACUCUACAAUUUUUGUCAUUUUCAUGGAGAAUAGGAGAAUAUAAGCUGACUUAGCCGAUAUCUGUUUUCAAGAUUUAUUAUUACAGAGUUCUUUCUUAACCUUCUUUUGAUAUUGACUGCUUUCAAGAUCCAUAUAUUUUGUUCUCCAUGAUAAGCUUACAUCUGUUUCAUGUCCAACGAUAUGUAAGGUCAGUACGCAAACCAGAAUCAAUUUUGCAAGUUAUCUUCGGUGAUUUCCAGACUACAUUUAAAAGUUUCAAUAAAAUAUGAAGAAAUUGAUCACCUACCUAGGCUUUGAAAGAGCCUAAUAUUCUUCAUUACUCUCACUCUAUAAAUACUACAUCAUCCGGUUUACAUCUUCACAGCUCAAAAUCCUGUUCGAUCAUUUCGUAAAAUCAGUAGAAAAUAAUGGGUGUUUUCACAUACGAAUCUGAGAUUGUUACUGCAAUCCCACCAGCCAAGAUGUUUAAGGCUUGCAUCCUUGACGGCGACACUCUCAUUCCCAAGAUUGUUCCUCAGGUUUUUAAUAGUGUUGAGUACUUGGAAGGUAAUGGUGAGCCUGGGAGCAUCAGGAAGGUCACCUUUGCACAAGGUUAUUUUCAUUCAACUUCAUAUUUUGAGCCAAAUCUAAUAUAUGAUUAAGUUUGAAGGAAAGAAGGAUGAAAGUGAUGUGGCUUUUGGACAUGUAUGUUUCAGGAAAUCAAUUCAAUUACAUGAAACAGAAGGUAGAAGCAUUAAACACAGAAAAAUUUGAGUACAUUUACAGUGUGAUUGAAGGCGAUCCGCUGAUGAACAUGCUCGACAAAAUAACUUAGGAAAUAAAGUUAGAAGACUCUCCAGGUGGGGGAUCCAUAUGUAAGACUAGUAGUAAGUAUUACACCAUUGGUGACAUUGAGCUCAAGGAAGAGGCAAUCAAGGCAGGCAAAGAAAAGGCUUCGGGUGUAUUGUUCAAGUCCAUCGAAGCCUACCUCGUCGCAAAUCCUAACGCCUAUUGAGAUUGCAUUCACUACAAUGAAUAUCAAGAAAUUGGCCUUCUCCUCUUCUAGCUUUUACUUCUGCAGCAAAUGAGCUUCAAAUUUCUAAUAAAGACUUCAUAGUUUGCCUGAAAUAAACAAAAGAGCAGACAAUGUAUUUACUGAAUCUUGUUGUGUGAGAUAUUCAUUGAGAAUAAAGAGUUGGUCAUCUUUCAUCUGAAUAAUCCUUGUCCUAUUAACCACCUUUAAUCAUUAGUUGCAUGAGUUAAAUGUUAUAGAGCUGGCUCAUUGAUUAAACAUGUGUAGUUCAUAAUCCAUUUACUCAAGACAUUUACCUGAAAAUUUAACAAUUUCAGUUAUGAUUCUAUGAUCUGAAAAAUUUUCCUCUCAUAGUAUUUACUACUGCCAGAGGAUUCUGGAUUAGUCUUGCCAAUAAUUUCAACUAGACUCUUCAGUUUGUAUAUCUGUACUGAAAAAAAUCAGUAUGCAACACUCAACAUUAAGUCGGUAUUACAUAAUGCUAGAAUUGAUGAAUUAAAGGUACUCAUUGACUGCAGGAACCUGAUAACACGAUAGAAAAUGCAAGUGCUGAAGAUGGUUUUAAGUACCCAACACUGAAAGCUCUAGGCUAUAAAAACUGAAAUGGGGUUAAAGUGGGUUUUUAGGAAAAUCCUAGGGACAAUUAAAGUAUAAGAUAUUCACCUUUUGUUCUAUCUUACAAGAACAUAACCAUGUUAAAUUUGGCACAUAAAUCACUGAUCAACUGAAUUUCUGGAACCACGUACGGUGGCUGUAGUAACAUAAUAUUCAGGAUUUCAUGUUAAUACUUUUGCUGCAACAUGUUUAUUUCUAGAAAACUAACAAACUAUCACCGAAAGUACCAUGUUGCUCCGACGAUUCAUUAUUCUUCAAGUACCCAUACAGCCAUACAUGGUACUUAUGUUAUCCGGACAUUAGUAUGGGGAUAUGAUCCUCAUAAGACUCUAGAUACAUGAAACACAUAAUAAAAUUGAAGAUAACUGUGUUAGAUACAUACGGCUGUCCGGAAAUCUGACUAAUUUAGAGUAAUCUAUUGAUUACAAUGUCAAAAUUGAAGAUAACUGUUGUUAGAUCCAAGGUUUUGAUUGCUUAAAAUAUUAGUGAAUUAGAGUCUUUUCUUUUCAAUCUUCUUCAGAGUUCCAAUAAUAUUGGUCUCAUGAUUCACUGAUUUGUCGGUUUAUGGUAAGCUUGAUGUUGUAUAUUGAAGAGAUAAGUAAGAUAUGUACACAAACCAGAAUCAUUUGAAAAUUUUUAGGUGCUUUUCUCGUACUUAAGUACAAAAUUUCACUAAAUGGAAAAAAAUCGCAUAAAAUAUAAAGAAAUCACCAAAGAUUCCAGAGGGCCUAAAACUCACAAACAAUUAUAUAUCAGAUAUGUACAUCAUCAGCAAACAUAAGUAAUAAUUGAGGUUUUAAUUAGAAAGAAAUUUUAAUUAAUUAAUCUAGAGUCAGUUGCUCUUAUUCUUGAAAUAGAUAUUAAUAUAAUUUAAGAAUUUUUACGGAUCAAUAUACUAAAUAAAAAAAUUGUGUAAUUUCGAUUGAUAGUGAUAAAUGAAAUCUAGGUGAAUUUUUUCCUGAAUAUCCGUGUCUAUUACUUAAUUAAAUUAAUUAAUUCUAAUUUUUAAAUCAAUCACUUGAAUUAUUCAACUAAAUAAUAGAAAGAUAAUAAUUAUUAGUACUUUUAAUUGAUUCACAACUAAUCAUUAGGAUAAUAUAACCAUGUUAAGUUUGGCACUUGAAACAUUGAUCAAACCGAGUUUCUAUCACUAUGGUGGUGGUUAUAAAAUGUUUCUGUAAGGAUAUCAGAUUUCUAACACCUUUCUAAAGUCAUGUUAUUUUGUGACUUUUGCUGCAACAUGUCAACCAACAACAAUGCGGAGCCAGAAUACUAAUAAUAACAUUGGGACAAACUAAAACUAGAAAUGUUAUAUAAGAAUUAAUUUAAACAUAUAAAUAAUUAUUUCAAAAUAAACAAUAUUCCAACAAUAAAUUCAUCAACCAAUUAUCUUUCAACGAUAAAUUCAUCCUUCAUCCCUUGCGUUAAUAAAUCAAACUUCUAGAACAGGAAUUGGGUGUGGUGCGCCAGGCCCAAGCAAUAGUGCAAAACCUGGGCGACGCUCGAGAACCCCAGUAGCAAGCUACUGUGAUGGACUCUCCCACUCGAAAAAUAAAUUUAAUAUCGUGUGAUCCAAUUGAUCACGUAUCAGAUAUUAAACUGAUAAGAACAGAUACUACACUUGAUCUUAGCCAAAAGGCCGAGAAAGGUAUGCUUUCAAUCAUCAAGCAUCGGGCAAUUUAAAGCCUGCUUCUCGCCUGUUCUUUCGUACUCUUCCUGAUGUGGGAUAUUUUGCAAAUCAGCUAGAAAAGAGCCGCCUACAGGUGCUCCUAUAAAGACUGAACCCUUCCUGAAUAGACUGAUUCUGGGCCAUUUAGGAUUUGAUUCAACAAUCAGGUUCUACAACUGAAGUCAAAAGAUUGACAAGCAUCUUACAAGGUAUGAUAAAAUGUUACAAAAAUAAAAAAAGAAACAUGUGACAAUUUUUUAAAAUUAUUUGUAAAAUAAAAAAAUACAUUUAGUAUAUCAAAUAUUAACCUUUUAUAUAAUAAAUUAAAACUAAAUUUUAUAUUGAAUUACUUUAUUAUUACAAUGUAUUUUCAUUAACUAAGAAAAAGGAAAUUGGCACUGCUGACAAAGGCUGAUGUCGUAGGUCUUGAGCACUCAAGUUCAAAUCUCAUGGUAACUCUUAAAUGGGAGAAAUAUGUUUAAGGAUAAUGAUAUUUUGAUAGUCUUUCUUUAUGUUGAUGAUCUCUUGCUAAUGGGAAAUGAUGCAUGGUUGCUUGAGGAAUUCAAGGAGGAGAUGACGAAGGUUUUUGAGAUGACAGAUCUUGGAUUGAUGUCCUUUUUUCUUGAAAUGAAAAUUAAACAGGCUAAGCAUGAAGUAUUCAUCCACCAGAAGAAGUACGCCAAGGAAAUCUUGAAGAAAUUCAAACUUGAAGAAUGCAAGGAAGUAAGUACUCUUAUGAAUCAAAAGGAGAAGCUAUGUAAAGAAGAUGGAGCUGAUAAAGUUGAUGACAAACGCCAGUUGGAUAACAAACGCCGCUAAAGAUCGAUCAUUAGCGGCGCUUCAUGGAAAACGCCGCUGAAAAUAAGCAUUAGCGGCGUUUUCCAGAAAGUGCCGCAAAAUACCUAAGCCCAACGACGCCGUUUUCCAAGCUUUCAGAAAUUUAGCGACGUUUUUGAGAACGCACCACAAAAAAACCUAAGCCCAACGACGUCGUUUUCUGAGCUUUCGGGGAUUUAGUGGCGUUUUUAGGUAAGCGCCGCUAAUGCUCAGGGCUUUAGCGGCGUUUUUAAGUAAUCGUCUCUAAUGUUCAGGGCUUUAGCGGCGUUUACCAGAAAGCGCCGCAAAAAACCUAAGCCCAACGACGCCGUUUACCGAGAUUUCGGGGAUUUAGCGGUGUUUUCGGGAAAGCGCCGCUAGUGCUCAGGGACUUCGUGGCGUUUUUAAGCCCAACACCGUUUUCUGAGCUUUCGGGGAUUUAGCGGCAUUUCGGAGAAAGCGCCGCAAAUGCUCAGGGAUUUAGCGGCGUUUCGGAGAAAGCGCCGCAAAAAAACCUAAGCCCAACGAUGCCGUUUUCUGAGCUUUUCCGGGAUUUAGCAGCGUUUCUAAAAAACGCCGCUAAUGAACCUAAGCCCAACGAUGCCGUUUUCUGAGCUUUCGGGGAUUUAGCGGCAUUUUUUGAAAAGCGCCGCUAAUGCUCAAGGAUUUAAAAUAAUUUAAAAUAUUUGCUAAAAAUGGAAAAAUUAAAAUACUAUUAUUUAAAAUAUUUUUAAAGUUUUUUGGAUACAUUACUGAUUUUUUUAGUUUAUAUAUUAAAUAAUUUCUUAUAUAAUCGUAAAGGAGAUAGUAUUAAUUUUAAAAUAUUGAAUUAAUUAUCACUAUAGUAUAUGGUUUAGAGUUUAAAGAGUAGGCCGAUGUAUGGAUUUAGGGUUUGGGAUUUAAGGUUUAGGGGUUAGGUGUUAUGUUUUAAGGGUUAGGGGGAUUUAGGGGUUAGGAGUUAUACUUUAGGGGUUAAUGGAUUUAGGGGUAAGGGGUUAGGGUUUAUGGAUUUGGGGUUUAAGGUUUAGGGCUUCAACGGUUAGGUUAGAGUUUAAGUUUAGAUUAAUUAGUUUUAUUAAUUUUUAUAUUAAAUAUGUUCUUAUAUAUUUCUAAAAUAGAUAUAUAAUAAUAAAUUUAAUAUAUUGAAAUUAUGAGUAUAUAAUUUAAAUUUAUUUAUUUAUCAAUAAAAUAAAAUAUUAUAAAUUUCAAACUUUAUACAAAAAAAUAAAUAUUAUAAAGAUAAUAUUACAAAAAGUUUUUACUAUUAAUUAUUGUUUAAUCAAUUAUAACUAUUUUAUGAUUAUUAAAGAUUUAGGGAUUAUUUUGGAUGGCCGUGCUAUUUUAAGGAUUAGGGGGUUAUGGAUUUAGGGUUUCAGAUACAAGGGUUAAGGGUUUAGGGGUUACGAGUUACGAGUUAAGGGUUAGUUGUUAAAGAUUUAGGGUUUAGGGUUUCAGGGGUCGGAUAAGGGUUUUAGGUUAGUUUAGAUUAAUUUCUUUAAAUAAUAUUUAAAAAAAUCAAUCUAAAGUACCAAUUGAUAUAUUUAAAUAUUAUUUUAAAUAGAAUUCAUAAAUAAGUUAAAAAAUAUAUUGAUAUAUAUUAUAUGGAUGGAUAUAUAUUUAGGUAAAAUUAUUUAUUUUGGAAAUAUAUAUAUAUAGGACCAAAUACAUAAGAAAUGAAAUAAAAAAAAACAAAAAAUGACAAAAAAAAACUAAAAUUUACAAAACGGCACCGUUUUCGAAUGAAUAGUUAAACUUUUAGUGGCGUUUUAGCUGUUAAACGCCGCAAAUGUGGGAAGCAGUAGUGGCGUUUGUUCAAGAAACGCCGCAAAAGUGUCUUUAAAAUUUGAGUAAACGACGCCGUCUGUCUACACGAUUUUUAACUUAUAAAAAGUUUAGAAUUAUUUACUUGAAACGUCACCGUUUGGCUUGUUGUACGUUAAGUAGUAGUGGCGUUUUUACAUAAAACGCCACAAAUAGUGCAAUUUGAGAAAAAAACGGUGCCGUUUCUGCUUACAAGUUUAAAUUUUUAUGGCGUUUUCGUGAUAAUGCCGGAAAUUUUGGAAGCAAUAGCGGCGUUUUUUCAGUAAACGCCGCAAAAGGGUAUUAAAAUAAUGUCUAAACGGCGCUGUUUCUGUAUUCGAAUUUUAACUUAGCAUUUUCUCUAUAUUAAUUCAACGGCGCCGUUUUCGUUAAUUUCUAGUGGCGUUUGUGCGCGAAACGCCGCAAAAGUGACUUAAAAUAUUGGCUAAACGACGCCGUUUAGCUUAAGCAAAUUAAUUUUUAGUGGCGUUUAGCUUAAAAUAUUCUCUAUAUUUAUUAAACGGCACCGUUUCAGAUUAGAACUUUAAUUUUUAGUGGUGUUUUUUGGAAACGCCGCAAAUAUACAAGCAAUAGCGGCGUUUUUCCAAGAAACGCCGCAAAGGUGUCUUAAAAUUUUGGCUAAACGACGCCGUUUCUGUACAUCAUGUUUUAACUUAUCAUUUUCUCUAUAAGGCAGAACACAAAUAGAAACAGAAGCAGAGGACAAAACGAAAGGGAUAAAAACGAAAGAGAAAAUACAAAGGAAAAAAGGGAGAGGAGAACUCAGAAAUCAUCAGAAACGAAGCAACAGUUGAGUCAAUCUUGACAGGAUACUAUCAAAGCUGCGGAAUUUGUGGUUAAAAGGUAAACUUUUUUUCUUUCGAAACACUGUAUCUUGAUUUAGGGUUUUGGUUUAGUGUAAUUUGGGAAUUUGGGGUUUAGAGUCCAAGUUCAAUCACCAAGCUUGUACCAGUUUGUUUGGGAAUUUGGGGAAUUUGGGAAUUUUUGCGUGUCUAGGGUUUGGGAAGAAGUACCAAUCUUCUGUGUUUGCUUUCUAGUUUGUUCUUCUCAUUGUUGAAGGGCCCCCAAAAAUAACACUUGUUCUUAUGUUCAAGUUUUGUUCCCCAGAAGUAACACUGCAUUUGCCCAACUGUUAAAGAAAUGAGAACUCAAAAUUGUGGAUUAACCAUUUGUUACUGCCUUAUUGAUCAGCUCGUAUUUAUGUAAGUUUGCUGAUAUUAUUUUUAUCAAAAUGUCCUUACUUUUAUUCCUUCUGAUUUCAGAGUUGAAUUUAUUUAGUUAUUAGUAAAAAGGGGUAAACAACUGAACUAAAACUACAAAAGUUUACUCUUCUACAAUCUUUAAUUUUAGUUGACUUCACUGUGAAUUUCCUCAAAUAAGCAUCACAGUUUUUGCUUUAAGUGUUAUUUAAACUUUUAACUUGGUAAAAACAUUUGAAUGGCUUGGAAAUUUUUGUGCAUUUUAAAAUCUGUUUUAAGAAAAACUUAUUGGGUGGGGAUGGACCAAGCCUAAUUUAUUCAUAUACUGUUGAGGCUUUGGAGUAAUUUAGUAUAAAACUGCAUCUACAGGUAAAUGCUUUAGCUGCUCUUCCUUCUUUAUAUAUUUUUAAAUUUUUCUCCAUGUUGCAGUAAAAAUUGUUGAAAGUAAUUUUCUUAGAACGUAAUCGAUUUUCCAGCACUCUGUAAUUAGCUCUGUAGUUGGUAAACAAUGUUAAACUAUGUUACACGAUUUCUUCAUUCUCUGAUUGUUGCUAAAGUAUCCAUCUGACAGCUGUAUCUGGAUUCCCGACACAUAUUCAAACAUUGAUAUAGAACACAUGGAGAACAAAAAGUUCCUUUCACACCGAGUUCCUACAUGUCUGUUCUGCUUUGUUCAAUGAGUUUGUUAUUUCUCUGCUGUUUGUUUCUUACACACGAGAUUUGGAUAUUGUAUAUACAUUGUAAAAAUGGGCUGCCCGAUUUAACAGAAUGUUAAAUACAUGACUUACUAAAAUUUAAGUAUAUAUUACAUUACUUACAUUACUUACUAAAAUAUAUUACAUUACUUAAAUAUAUUACUUACUAAAAUGUAUAACUUACAUUACUUAAAUAUAUUACAUUACUUAAAAUUUAUAUAUAUAUAUAUAUAUAUAUUACAUUACUUAAAUAAAAAUUAGCUUUUAUUGUUUUAUUUAAUUAUAAAUAUAUUAUUAAUUUAUUUAACGUAAGGCACAAAAAUAAAUUUAUUAUUAAUAUUUACUUAUUCGUCAUUUCAGUCUUAAUUUUAUUUUUUAUCAUUUCUUUCUAUAUUCAAACUUAAUUAAAUUUUUUUUUUGCAAAAAAUACUUAUAAACUAUUAAAAUUUUAAUGAUAUUGAUAACAUUUCAUAUAAUGUAUACUUUAUUACCGAAGUAGAUAUUUGUUUUUUAUGAAUAAUUUUUUAAAUUUGUUGAAAUUUUAAAAUAUUUUUGUUAUUUUUUCUGAUUUUUAUGCAAUAAAUGUGAAUUAUUACGUGAGUUGUCACUUUAAUGUCAUUAAAUUUUUAAGAGUUUAUCUAACCGUUUCAUCUAAAAAAUUAUAAUUUAAUUAAAUAUUAAAAGUUGAAAGUGAAAAUGAUCGAAAAAAUAAAAUUAGUGUUGAAAUGAUAAAAAGUAGUAAAUAUUAAAGGGGAGUGAUCCACUUACAUCCUCGAUUAAUAUUUUAACUAUUUUGCCAUUAGUCGGUGUAAUAAAUAAAACUUGCAUAACUUACAUAAUAACAUAAUAACUUACAUAAUACACAACUUACAUAACUUAAAUAACUUACAUAGUACAUAACUUUGAUAACUAACAUUAUACACAACUUACAUAACUUACAUAACUUAAAUAACUUACAUAAUACAUAACUUCGAUAACUAACAUUAUACACAACUUACAUAAUACAUUUCUUGCAUAACUUACAUUAUACACAACUUAAUUAAUAUUAUACAUAACAUACAUAAUACAUAAUACAUAAUACACAACUUAAUUAAUAUUAUACAUAACUUACAUAGUACAUAACUAACAUAGUACAUAACAUACAUAAUACAUAAUACACAACUUAAUUAAAAUUAUACAUAACAUACAAAAUACAUAAUACAUAACUUACAUAAAUUACAUAAUACACAACUUAAUUAAUAUUAUACAUAACUUAAUUAAUAUUAUACAUAACAUACAUAAUACAUAACUUACAUAACUUACAUAACUUACAUAGUACACAACUAACAUAAUACACAACUUACAUAGCUUACAGAAUACAUAACUUACAUAACUUAUAUAAUACAAAACUUACAUAAUUUACCUAAUACAUAAAUAUAUAUCAUAUCAUAACUUGCAUAACUCAUUUAUAGUUACAACUGAAUAACUUACCCGUACAAUUUAUUGUCAACGUUAGACUUCAAGAAUUAAGAAAUGGACCGGUCUUGGAUGAAUUUGUCAAGGGUUAGCAACGGUUAUCGAAAUGGAGUACAGAAUUUUCUAAAUUUUGCAUUUCAAUAUGCAAGCCAAGAGAACAUGAUUCUUUGCCCGUGUAAGAAGUGUGUCAACAUAAACUAGCAUUAUUGUGAGGUUGCAUACAAGCAUCUAAUUGUUGAUGGGUUUGUUCGGGGUUAUAAACAAUGGUUAUUUCAUGGAGAAUGCCCGCCUAGUACUUCCUCUUCAAGGAUAGAUGUAUCUUAUGAUAGUACUGCUUACCAUCAGACUGUUAGAGGGGAUGACAUGGAAGGGAUGUUGCGGGAAGCAUUUAAUAUUCACAAUCAUGGUUUACAGUCGUUCCCAGCUGACUUUGUGGCAUCUGAUGAUUGUAAUCUCGGUGGAAAUGCUUUUACCGAACCUGGAACAAGUGUACAUCAUGAAGAGCCAAAUGGAGAAGCAGCGAAGUUCUACGCGCUACUUAAUGACAUGAACGAAGAACUAUAUGAGGGAUCAAAAUUUUCAAAAUUUUUUUUCUGUAUUCGUCUUUUUCAGUUAAAAUGUUUGGGAGGGUGGACCGGGAACUCUAUGACAAUGCUGUUAGAGUUUUUGAGAGAGAUGUUUCCGUUUGCAAAAAUCCCUCAAUCAUGCAAGGAUAUGAAGAAAAUGAUAAAAGAUUUAGGUCUUGGGUGCACCAAAAUCCAUAGUUACCCGAAUGACUGCAUGUUGUAUUAGGGUGAUCGGAGAAACCAACAGUGCUGUCAUAUGUGCGGACGUUGGAUAAAUAGAAACACAGAAGAUGGGAACGACGAUGAAAAUGAUGCACAGCCAAGAAAGAAGCCGGUCAAGAUUUUGCGGUAUUUUUCGCUGAUACCAAGGCUUCAAAGGCUUUUCAUAUCGUCGAAGACAGCGGAGUUUAUGACGUGGCACCAUGAUGGAUGAACCGAUGAUGGAUUAUUAAGGCAUCCGACAGAUUCUUUAGCUUGGAAAUCAUUUGACAAUAAAUUUCUAAGCUUUGCAAGCAAUCCUAGGAGUGUGAGGCUUGGCUUAGCAUCUGAUGGGUUUAAUCCUUACAAGAUCAUGAGUACUGCGUACAGUACUUGGCCAGUAGUGUUUGUUCCUUACAAUCUGCCUCCGUAGAUUUGCAUGAAGCAAUCUUCCCUUAUCUUAUCUAUGAUUAUCCCUGGAGAGAAAGGGCCCGGGAAUGAUAUCGACAUUUAUUUACAACCACUUAUUGAAGAGUUAAAACAAUUAUGGGCUAGUGUCGAGACAUACGAUGUGCUGAGAAAGGAGAACUUUAAUUUACGUGCAACUUUGAUGUGGACCAUUAAUGCCUUCCCCGCUUAUGCCAAUUUAUCCAGUUGGAGUACCAAGGGUCGUUAUGCGUGUCCUUGUUGUGCUGCACAAACAUGUUCACAAUGAUUAUACAAUGGGAAGAAGUUCUCUUACAUGGGGCACCGUCGGUGGUUACCGGAAAAUCAUAGAUUUAGAUUUCAGAGUUCAGCAUUUGACGGUAUUUAAGAGUUCAGAAAAGCUCCUUCGCAGACAAGUGGAUCUGAAAUCUUGUUAAUGUUGGAAGAUAUGAAUUUCAGUUGUGGGAAGAUGAACCAACCGGCAAACACGCAAAGAAAUAAAAGAUCAAAUGAUGAAGCUGAUGAUGACUCCGAUGAAGAGGAUGAUCCUAAUGAGGCGGACUUGUGGAAAAAAAGAAGUAUUUUUUUGAGUUGCCUUAUUGGGAGCACCACCUAUUACGAUACAAUCUUGAUGUUAUGCAUAUUGAGAAAAAUGUCUGCGAGAACAUUGUCGGUACAGUUUUGAAUGUAGACGGAAAAUCAAAAGACAAUCUUCAGAGUCGACUUGAUUUAGUUCAGAUGGUAGUUCGACCUGAUCUUCAUCCGAAUCCACUUCCGAAUGGGAAAUAUCGGUUGCCACCUUCAAUUUUCUCAAUGUCCAAGACGGAGAAAGAACUGUUUUGCAUGGUGUUUAAGGAUAUAAAGGUUCCAGAUGCGUAUGCAUCAAAUAUAUCUCGAUGUGUUAGUGUUAAAGAUCGAAGAUUAUAUUCGCUAAAAUCACAUGACUAUCACAUCUUGAUGCAAUAUUUACUGCCAGUUACUCUACGAUGUUGUAUGUCUAAGAAGGUGACGUCUUUUAUAAUUGAACUAUCCAAUAUAAUGGAAGCCAUUUGUGGCAAAGUUUUGGAUGCUCAAGAACUUCAGAAGGUACAGGAUCGAGCCACUUUGACUUUAUGCAACAUGGAGAAAAUCUUCCCACCUUCCUUCUUCACCAUUAUGGUUCACUUGAUAAUCCAUCUCCCGCACGAAGCAAUUAUUGGCGGACCCGUUUUCUAUCGAUGGAUGUAUCCCAUAGAAAGGUGUUAAUUAAAAUUUUUAAAAUUUUCCUUCAUUCACCUAUAUGCCUUUAGUAAUACACUUUUGAUAAUGUUGUAUAUCAUGGUUAGGUUCCUAUCCAAAUUAAAGUCUUACUGCCGCAACAAGCGAUAUCUAGAAGGAUCAAUUGCCGAAGGCUACUUGGCAGAGGAAUGUAUGACCUUUUGCUCAAGAUAUUUGGAAGAUGUUGAAACAAGGUUGAACAGACCAAAUAGGAAUGCUGGACUCACGGACCAUAACUUCGCCGAUACUUAUUUGUUUCAAAGUUUUGGAGAAUCAAUCGGUAAAGUUGAAAUUGUAGAAUUAGAUCAUUUAUCGUGGGUACAAGCACAUCGAUAUGUUCUAUUUCACUACGAAUCAACAGAACCUUUACGGAAGUAAGUUCUACAAAUUUGAUAAAUAUUUAUCAAAUUUAAAAUUGUUUAUCUUCUAACAAAGUGAACAUUUUUUAACAUAGUCAGUACAAACAAAUAUUGAGAUCUCGUUCGCGCUCCCGAAGAACACAACAUCGAGAUAUCAAUAAGUUGUUUACAGAAUCUUUUCAUGAAUGGUUAAGCCAAAUGGUAUGCAGUUGGAGCUUCCGCUUACAAAUAAUAAUGUUUUCUCAUAACAUUUUUAAUUACUCAGUUUACUUUCCAUUCAAUAGGUUUGGAGUGGGAAGAACGUAAACGAUGAAGUUAAAUGGCUCUCCCAAGGUCCAAAUCGAGUGGUUAAAAGAUAUAGUGCGUUCAUCAUCAACGGAUUCAGAUUUCAUACAAAAUAUCGCUAGAGGUUGAGGAGAACGCAAAAUUGUGGAAUAGUUGUUAAUUCUGCAAUUACAAGUUAUGCUAGUGCUAGGGAUAAUAAUCUUGUCGAGGGAAAUGUGGAAUAUUUCAGACUUCUUACUAACAUAAUUGAGUUGGAUUACUACGGCAAAUGGAAAGUUGUCUUAUUUCGAGGUUAUUGGGCCGAUGUUAAUACUACUCAUGGAAUUAAGCAAGAUCAAUUUGGUUUUACAAUGGUGAACUUCGCCCGAUUGAUCCACAGAGUACAACAACUGAUAGAUGAGCUGUAUGUAUUCUCAUCUCAAGUCAAACAAAUUUUUUACUCAAAAGAUCCAACUGAUGAGGGUUGGUACGUUGUACUCCGUAACAUUCCUAGAGACUUAUUUGACAUGGGCAGUGGAAGUAGAGAUAACAUCGACGACAGAUCAGAAACUUUGCCCUUGCCAGAACAAAACUUAAACGAUAAUAUCUCUAGUACUAGUGAACAAUUUCAAUGGGUUCGUCAGGAUACAGAUGAAGAUAUUUACGAAUAAUGAUGUAGUAAGAUUUUACGAUUGUUUAAUAUCAUAAUUUAAAUAUUGGUCUUAUUAUAUAUUUCAACUAUUUUAUAUGUGUUGUUAUUGUUGUAAUUAGUUAUUAAGUUUUCAACUAUUUUAUGUUUAUUGCAAAUAAAAUGCCUAGAAGAAAAUUUCCAAGGGGAAGCAUUGUUCAAAAUGAUCCAAACUCGACAGAAACAAAUAGUAUUGAACAACAGACAGCAAUUGGAUCUUCAAAUGUUCCGAUUACACCUGAGGAUGUUGACUUAUAAUUGAUUUAUUCUUCAAAUUCUUAUAUUAUAAUAUACCAUUUGCAGCUGAAAAUGGUGGGACGUGCAGAGGUCGAGGACGUACGCUACUUACAGAUUUAUACGAGUUAGAUCCAGUUGAGCGUGUCAAGGUAUGCAGAAACAGUUUUGGUCAGUCUGUUGGAUCAGAAGCUCGACUUUUAGCAGGAUACAUGGGCAUUUUAGCACGAAAUGCGAAUAUGUUGCCUAUCAACUACAAGUCAUGGCAUCAAAUACCCGAUAGCAACAAAAACCAAGCCCUCGAUAAUAUUAAGGUAACAAAAUGUUAAUGCCAUCUGUAAUGCUUGGGAAAUGGUUUCAUUUAUAAUUACUUUAUUAACUUGUGUUUUUUGUAGGCGAAGUUUGCUUUAGAGGUCUCGGAUUCUUAUGUAAAGAAGGCAUUGGGAAAAAGAUGGAGAGACCAUAAAAGUACUUUGAAGAAAUAUUAUUAUAAGACAAAAACAACCCUCGAUGAGAAAUUGCAAAAUGUCCCGCCGGGUAUGCUGAGGUACCAAUGGGAAGAUGCGGUUAGAUUUUGGCAUUCGAAGAAAGGCGAGGUAUGACGUACUUCCAAACUAUUGUAAUUAUUUUGGUUUAUAGUAUUUACUAUUUACGUACUAAAAAUUUCAUAAUGUAGGAUCGUAAACGAGUUGGAAAAAGCAGCAGGCAGAAACAAAAAUUCACUCACACAGCCGGGUCGAGAAGUUUUGCAUGUGUAGCUGAGGCGGAGGUAUUUUUAAUUUUUUAAUAUUGUCAAAUAUGUAUAACUUUCCAUUAAAUAAUAUUUUUACUACUAUAUUGUAGGAACGGUCGUUCGGUCAAAAAUUUGGACGCCUUCAACUUUUUGAAAUUACACAUAGGAAGAAAGAUGGAUCUGCUAUGACUCCUGAAGCUGGUGAAAUUAUGGUACGUUUACUUAAUACGAUUUGACUUGUUUUAGUUAUUUAUAGUGUUUAUUUUCUAAUGGUUUAAUUCAUUACUUGUAAUGCGACUAUUUUUAUGUUACAUUUGUUUUUUUAAUAUAUAUUGCGUUCCUAACUAUGUGAUUUAUUUAUUAGGAAAAACUAAAGGAUAAAAAGGCGGAGUAUGAAGCGAUUGCUUCUAGUGAUAGUUCUGUUCAUCCUGAAGACAUUGAUAAUCGGAUUAUUACUGAAGUUUUGGGUCCUGAAAGGUAUGACCGGGUUCAAUUUCAAGGAUCUUUUGUUAGUCCAACCCAAUAUUUUGGAUCCAGCUUGCAGUAAUACAUGGCUUCGAAGAGUCAAGCUCAAGCUGAAGUUCAGAGGUUAAAAGACCAGAUGGCUCAGAUGCAAGCGACCACAUUUGAGGUUCAAAGGAAAUAUGAAGAACUCCAGCUACAACUUAAAGCAAAGGCGGCAACGAGGGAAGCAGAGGCUAUAGCAAGAGAAGCAGAGGCUGCAGCGAGAGAAGCAGAGGUUCAAAAGAAAUAUGAAGAACUCUAGCUACAACUUAAAGCAGAUGCGGCAUCGAGAGAAGUAGAGCAGAGAAAAAAGUACGACGAACUUCAACAGCAGCUUCAGAUUAUGAUGAAGAUGUUUCAGCAGUCGCAACUUCCGCCGUCAUAGUGUAUUGCAUAAAUAUUUUUGUAAAGAAAAGUAUGAAUUCACUUUUAUUUAUUGAUAUUAAUAUUAUUUUAUUCGUUUAUUUGAAAUAUUAUAUAAAUUUAUUGUUUUUGGCUGGUUUAGAUCUGGUUGCUUUUGAUUUGCUGUUAUAGGAGGGCUGAAAAAAUGGAAAAUUUUAUUUUACAAAAAUCCCAAAAUUAGUGGCGUUUUUUAUAAAAGCGCCGCUAAAGAACAUCACUUUUAGUGGCUAUUUUUACAAAGAGCCGCUAAAGAACAGGAUCUUUAGAGGUGUCUUUUUUUUAAGCGCCGCUAAAGAACAUGAUCUUUAGUGGCGUUUUUUACUAAGCGCCGCUAAAGAACAUGAUCUUUAGCGGCGUCUUUUUUUAAGCGCUGCUAAAGAACACGAUCUUUAGUGGCAUUUUUUUCUAAGCGCCGCUAAAGAACAUGAUCUUUAGCGGCGUUUUUUAUUAAGCGCCGCUAAAGAACAUGACCUUUAGCGGCGUUUUUUCUGUAAAUGCUACAAACGUUAGCAAUGUUGUCGUUAGCAGCAUUUUUUGCGGCGCUCAAAGACCUUUAGUGGCGCUAAAAAGCGCCGCUAAAGGCCUAAAAAAACGCCGCUAAAAACCUGUUCUGGUGUAGUGAUGAGGGAUAUUUUAGAAGUUUGAUUGGUUGCUUAAUGUAUCUUACAGCAACACGUCUUGAUAUUUUAAAUGUUGUAAGUAUUUAGUCACGAUUUAUGCAUUGUGCCAGUGAAUUGCAUCUCAGGGCUGCUAAGAGAGUAGUUCGUUAUAUCAAAGGCACAAGUAAUUUUGGUGUUAAAUUCACAAGAAGUAAUGAGUUCAAGCUUGUUGGCUUCUUUGAUAGUGAUUAGGGAGGUUCCAUUGAUGACAUGAGGAGUACAUCAGACUAUUGUUUUACUUGUGUAUCUAGUGUCUUCUAAUGGAGCUUGAAGAAGCAAGAAACUGUGGCUCAAUCCACUGUCGAAGUAGAAUUUGUUGCUACAGCAGCCGCUGUUAAUCAAGCUUUGUGGUUGAGAAAAUUAUUAAGUGAGCUUAACCUUGAACAGAAGGAAAGCACAAAGAUUUUCGUUGAUAAUCAAACUACCAUUGCAAUUUCUCAUAAUCCAGUAUUUCAUGAGAAGACUAAGCAUUUCAAUAUUAAGCUUUUCUUUUUGAGGGAAGUGCAAAAAGAAGGUAAUGUUAUAAUGGUUCAUUGCAAAACAGAGGAGCAAUUUGCAGAUAUCUUCACCAAGCCGCUUCCAGUAAGCAAAUUUGAAGUUUUGAGAACAACACUUGGUGUUUGCAGCAACUGAAGCAAGGAGGAGUGUUGAAGAUUUGCUUCAGUUACCAUAAUCUAGCUAAUUUGAGCUAUAAUCAUAACUCUUUGAUUUGUUUCAGAUUGUUUAGAGAUAUUUUUUAGAGAUUAUGGUUAUGUUAGUAGCCUAUUUUUAGUUAGUAGUUGUUAACUUGUUUACUAUAUAAACACUAGUUUCAGUUCAAUAAAAUAUACCUUUUUCAUUUCAAUUACUUGACUUAUUAUUUUCUCUUUUAAAUAAGUUCUUCUCAGUUCAGUUUUUUCAUCAUUUUAGUUUUCUUUUCUGAUAAAACAUCAACAAUAUCAAAUGCAGAGUAUGAAUUCACAUAUGCGAAACACAAAGUCGAUAUAUUAGACAAAAACAACUAGUUAUACACUUACGUUGUGAUCGAAAGCGAUUUUUUUAACGUGGUGGAGAAAAUCAGCUACGAGACCAAGUUUGUAGCAGCAGCAGAUGGAGGAACAAGUAUUAAGGUAACUACCACCUUUUACACCAUUGGUGACAUUCAGAUCUCUCCAGACCUAAUGCUCCAAAUCAAGGAAGCAUCCGAGAAGCGAGCCCUUGUUUUGAAAGCUAUUGAAAAUUAUGUGUUGGCAAAUCCCGAUUUCUGAAACUAGACUUUCAUGGCGUUCAACAUUUAAUGGUGUGGUUUGGAUGAUGUUUCAUGUUUUGUCUUAACCAAAAACCGUGUUUGAUUGCGUAAUAAGUGAUUUGUCUCUCUAGAUUUCAUCAUUUCUAUUUCCACUGUAAUAAGUGUCUUUUGAGUCGUUUCAAAAUAUAUACUUGAAAGCAAUGUUUUAUGGUUCAGGACAGUAACACUGUUAUUAUUUUCAAUAGAAACAGGCAAUGAUUGGUUGAAUUAACAAUUAAGUUAAUUAUGUUUUCUUGACACUACCCUGCAAAGUCAAAUGGAAAUACCAAAACAAGAAAAAAGAAUUACAAUUUGCCACGUUCCAAGCACAUUAAUUCAGGGUAUUAUAUUGAUCAUUAUCCAAGGUGCCUAUAUCCAGAUCAUUCUCAAUGCUCGUUCAUGAACCAGAUUAGGCCGUUACUUGUAAACAUCGUUGCCACAACUAAUUAUCUUCUGAAGCAUCAGUUUUUCCAAAUAUACUCUCAGAAAUCCUUUACCAUCUCUUAUUUUUAAAAGGCUACUUUGAGUUCCUUUUUUCUUUUGUGCGGCUGUCCUCUUCAACAUUCUUUGGUAUCAGCGCUAGGUUCGAUUGUUAUUAGGUGUAUUUCUCAUGGCGACAAACAACAAUACCGUGAGUGUUUCUCAACCGGCAAUUCCCGUUUUCAAUGGCGACAACUAUGAGUUUUGGAGCAUCAAAAUGAAGACACUGUUUAAAUCUCAAGAAUUGUGGGACUUAGUUGAGAAUGGGUAUCUUGAUGACGAUGGGGAAGCUAAGUUAAGAGAAAACCAGAAAAGAGACAAUAAAGCAUUAUUCUUCAUUCAGCAAGCUGUUCACGAGUCGAUUUUUUCAAAAAUUGCAGGAGCAGAAACUGCAAAAGAAGCUUAGACAACAUUGCACAUGGCGUAUCAAUGCACUUCGAAAGUUGUUAUAGUGAAGCUUCAGACUCUUCGUCGUGACUUUGAGACAUUGCAAAUGAAAAGUGGAGAAUCAGUGCAAGAUUAUCUUACAAGGGCAGUAGCGGUUGUCAAUCAAAUGAAGUCCUAUGGAGAGCAAGUUACGGAUCAAACUACUAUCGAAAAAGUGUUGUGGAGUUUGACUCCAAAGCUUGAUCAUGUCGUUGCAGCUAUGGAAGAGUCUAAAGACUUAGCUACUUACUCAUUUGAUGAAUUACAGGGAUCUUUGCAGUCCCACGAAGCAAGAUUGAACCGCACAAAUGAAAAGUCAGACGAAAAGGCAUUCCAAGUGAUAGGGGAGCCUUCCAAGCAGCAAGACGAUUCAAGAAAGGCCACAUACAGAAGAGGUUAUCGUGGCAGAGGUGGUUAUCGUGGUAGAGGAGGUCGUGGCAGAGGUAGAAGUGCUGGACAUGAUGAACAAAGGCAGAUGACAGAAAAACAGAAGCAAUAUAGGAGCAAUGUUCAAUGCUAUUAUUGCAAGAAAUAUGGGCAUGUGAUGGCAGAUUGCUGGAAAAGGGAAAGACAAGCCAACUAUGCAGAAGGUGACGAAGAGAUUAAGCUAUUCAUGGCUUCUCAAGAUGAUGUUAUAGCUUCGAAAGACAUAUGGUUUUUAGACAGCGGCUGUUCAAAUCAUAUGACGGGGAUAAAAUCUUUGUUCAAGGAGCUGGAUGAGUCAUACAAGGUGAAGGUGAGACUUGGUGAUGACAAGCAGAUGCAAGUUGAGGGCAAAGGCACUGUGGCGAUAAGCAAUAAUCAUGGUAACAUAAAGCUCCUUUAUAAUGUCUAUUUUGUUCCUACUUUAUCCCAAAAUUUAUUGAGCAUUGGGCAGCUUAUGGGUAGUGGAUAUUCUGUCAUGUUUGAUGACAUGUCUUGUGUGAUUAAAGACAAAAAAACAGGAAAAAUUAUUGUUGAUGUUCAGAUGGCACCAAACAAGCUCUUUCCUCUUGAAGUCUCUAAUGUAGAAAAUCAGGCUCUUGUUGUUAAAGAGAAUAAUGAGUCUAAGUUGUGGCAUUUACGGUAUGGGCACUUGAAUGUAAAUGGUCUAAAAUUGUUGAGUCAGAAGGAAAUGGUGUUCGGGCUGCCAAAAAUUGAGUCUUUAGAUUUGUGCGAAGGGUGUAUAUUUGGGAAACAAUGUAAAAAACCAUUUCCUGUAGGAAACUCUAGAAGGGCGUCUGAGUGUCUUGGGCUUGUGCAUGCUGACAUUUGUGGACAUAUGAAAACAGAAUCCUUGGGUGGAAGUCGCUAUUUUUUGUUAUUUACAGAUGAUUGCAGCCGCAUGAGUUGGGUGUAUUUUCUUUACUCCAAAUCAGAAGCAUAUGAGAUUUUUAAGAAGUUCAUGGCGCUCGUUGAAAAGCAAAGUGGAAGAAGUAUCAAGGCUUUGUGCACUGAUCGAGGAAGAGAAUUUUUGUCAAAUGACUCUAACCAGUUUUGUGAAGAGCAGGGCAUACAUAGAGAGUUGACAGCACCUUAUACACCGCAACAAAACGGUGUGGCUGAACGUAAGAACCGAAAGGUUGUUGAAAUGGCAAGAAGUUUGCUAAGAUCUAAGGGGCUACCAGAUAAGUUUUGGGCUGAAAGUGUUGCUGUUGCUGUUUAUUUACUGAAUUUGUCUCCAACAAGGGCGGUUCUCAACCGAACACCUUAUGAAGCAUGGAGUGCUAGGAGACCUUCGGUAAGCCACUUGAAAAUAUUUGGUUGUAUUGCCUAUUCUUUGAUAGAUUCACACAAUUGAAGCAAGCUUGAUGAAAAGCCUAUGAAAUGCAUCUUUGUUGGUUUUUGCUCUCAAUCCAAAGCAUAUAGGCUUUACAAUCCUUUGAGUGGCAAGGUGAUUAUUAGCAGGAAUGUUGUUUUUGACGAAAAUGCAAGCUGGGAUUGGAAUGAAGAGCAGGUACAUCAACAAAUCUCUAUGCCUAUUGAGGUUUCACAAGAUGAAAGACAAGAGUUAAAUUCAGCAAGUUCACCUCUUAACUCACCAAGAGCUACAAUUCCUGAAGAGCCUUUAGCUGAGCAACUCCCGCUUAGAAGAUCGGCAAGGGCCAGAAAGCCGAAUCCAAAAUAUGCUAAUGACACUUAUGAAUCUUGUCAGUUUGCUCUUGCUGUUUCAGAUCCUAUAUACUAUGAAGAGGCUACUGGAAGGGAAGAGUGGCAGAAGGCAAUGGAGGAAGAGAUGAAAGCUAUUGAGAAGAAUGGAACAUGGGAAAUGGUAGACUUACCGAAAGACAAAAGUGCAAUUGGCUUGAAGUGGGUGUUCAAAACAAAGUUUGUUGCUGAUGGAAGCUUACAGAAACACAAAGCUCGUCUUGUAGCAAAAGGUUAUGCACAACAAUAUGGUGUUGAUUUCGAAGAAACUUUCUCUCCGGUAGCUCGGUUUGAAACAGUGAGGCUUGUUCUAGCAUUGGCUGCACAAUUGCAAUGGCCUGUCUAUCAAUUUGAUGUCAAGUCAGCAUUCCUUAAUGGAGAUCUACAAGAAGAGGUUUAUGUAGCACAGCCGAAAGGUUUCAUAAAGAAAGGCAAUGAAACAAAGGUGUACAAGCUGAAAAAAACAUUAUACGGACUGAAGCAAGCCCCUCGAGCAUGGUACAGCAAGAUUGAUGGGUAUUUUCAGGAAAAAGGAUACGUGAGAAGUGAGAACGAGCCUACCUUAUAUGUGAAAAAGGAAGGUAAUGAUUUCAUCAUUGUCUGUCUUUAUGUUGAUGAUAUCAUUUAUACUAGUUCUUCUACUUUUCUUGUGGAUGAGUUUAAAUCUCAAAUGAUGAAUGAAUUUGAGAUGUCGGAUAUGGGUCUACUGCAUUAUUUCCUUGGUCUUGAAGUUUAUCAGGCUGAAGAUGGUAUUUUUAUCUCACAAAGAAAAUAUGCCAAUGAUCUUCUCAGUAAGUUUGGCAUGCUUAAUUGCAAACCUGCAAUUACACCCAUGAACAUCAAUGAGAAAUUGCAGCAAGAAGAUGGAGGAGAAGUGGCAGAUGCAAAAAGGUUCAGAAGCUUGGUAGGUGGUUUAAUUUACUUGACGCACACCAGGCCCGAUAUUGCAUUUCCUAUUGGUGUUAUUUCCAGGUUUAUGCAACAACCUUCAACAGGUCAUUAUGGAGCGGCAAAAAGAGUCUUGCGUUAUAUUGCAGGAACUUUGGGGUAUGGUGUUUGGUACUCCAAAAAUUCAAAUUUCAGACUGUGUGGGUUCACAGACAGUGAUUGGGCAAGUUCAUUGGAUGAUAGACGAAGUGUUUCAGCAAAUGUUUUCACUCUAGGUUCGGGAGUGAUCACUUGGAGUUCGAAAAAGCAAGCUACAGCAGCACUGUCAACUUCAGAAGCUGAGUAUAUAGCAGCAACCUCAGCAGCUUGUCAAGCCAUUUGGCUAAGAAGGGUGUUAGCAGAUCUUCAACAUGAGCAAAAGGAAGCAACGGAAAUAUUUUGUGAUAACCAAGCAACUAUUACCAUGACAAAAAAUCCAACAUUCCAUGGCAGAACGAAACAUAUAGACAUUCGCUAUCAUUUUAUACGCAAUCUGGUUGCAAAGAAGGAGAUAACAUUGGAAUAUUGCAGCACUCAAGAUCAGCUGGCAGAUGUGCUGACCAAGUCAUUGUCGAAAGAGAAGUUUUGUUAUCUUAGAGCCUUUCUUGGUGUGUGCAAGUUUGAAUCAAGGGGGAGUGUUGGAGAAUGAUUCAAAGUUUAUUUUUUGUUUUUUCUAAAUUUAGAUUUGGUUGAGUUGUGUUAGUUUGUUUCCUUUAUUUUUUCUGUUUUUGUUAUGAUUUUCUGUUGAGAUAUGAUUUCUUGUUGAGAUAUGAUUUUCUAUUAAGAUUUGUUGCUCUGUAAAGCCUAUAUAAGAGGCUGAUCUUUAGUUGAAUAAUGAAGCAUCAGUUUUUCCAAAUAUACACUCUCAGAAAUCCUUUACCAUCUCUUAUUUUUAAAAGGCUACUUUGAGUUCCUUUUUUCUUUUGUGCGGCUGUCCUCUUCAACAUCUUCAACGAUAAAUUCAUCAACCAAUUAUCUUUCAACGAUAAAUUCAUCCCUUGCGUUAAUAAAUCAAACUUCUAGAACUGGAAUUGGGUGUGGUGCGCCAGGCCCAAGCAAUAGUGCAAAACCUGGGCGACGCUCGAGAACCCCAGUAGCAAGCUACUGUGAUGGAUACUACCACUCGAAAAAUAAAUUUAAUAUCGUGUGAUCUAAUGGAUCAUGUAUCAGAUAUUAAACUGAUAAGAACAGAUACUACACUUGAUCUUAGCCAAAAGGCCGAGAAAGGUAUGCCUCUUUCUGUCGAGGGUCGGGCUAUUUAAAACCUGCUUCUCGCCUGUUCUUUCGUACUCUUCCUGAUGUGGGAUAUUUUACAAAUCAGCUAGAAAAGAGCUGCCUACCGGUGCUCCUAUAAAGACUGAACCCUUCCUGAAUAGACUGAUUCUGGGCCAUUUAGGAUUUGAUUCAACAAUCAGGCACCAUUUAAGAUUUGGAACACUGCUGUUAAAUUUUACGACUAAAGUUAAAAGAUUAACAAUUAUCUUACAAUGGUAUGGUAAAAUAUUACAAAAAAAAACAUGUAAUAAUUUUUUAAGAUUAUUUGUGAAAUAAAAAAAAAUACACUCAAUAUACCAAAUAUUAACCUUUUAUAUAAUAAAUUAAAAUUAAAUUUUAUAUUGAAUUACUUUAUUAUUGCGGUGUAUUUUCAUUAACUAAGAAAAAGGAAAUUGGCACUGCUGACAAAGGCUGAUGUUGUAAGUCUUAAGCACUCAAGUUCAAAUCUCAUGGUAACUCUUAAAUGGGAGAAAUAUAUUUAAGUACACUUGAACUCAUGUCCUCCUUAUUUUAACAAUUGGACUUACAUUUUUAAAUUUAAAAAAAUAUAAGAACUAAAUUUCUUGAAUAAAAGUGGAUGGACGAAAUUCUAAAUAUACGAAAAAUAUAAUUAUAUUAUACUUGUACAUACAUUGUAUUUGUAUUUGUAAAAAUUCUCUCUUUCAAAAGAAAAUAUUACUUUAAUUUUAAAUGUCAAGUUCUAAUUAUUUAAUUAUGUAGUAAAUAAUUUUAUGUCAUACAUGAAUAAUACAUUUAUGUAAUACAAUACAAUUAAGUAAUUAAUAUAUAACUAAAGAAAUAGUAUAUUCAAUUUAUUGAUCAAUUAUUAGGAAAGCAAAGAAAAUUGAAAAUUAAAGGAUGUGGAGUAGUAUGAAUUUACAAUAUAUCAAUUCUUUUUAGUAUUGUACAAAUGUUUACAAUGUAUCAAUUAACAUUAGCUUGGAAGAAGUGCCAAAAUCAACUUUUUCUCCGAGACUAUUUUACUUGAAUAUCUUCCUGACCCGAAUAGAAUUAGAUUUAAACCGUAAUUUUUUAAAAUUUUUACCUCAAUUAUUUUUAAAAUAAAAUUUUAUAAAAAAUAUGAUUUUAAAAUAUUUUAGAAAUAAGAGAUCAAUUGAAAAAAAAUUUAUCACUAAAAGUCAAAAUAUAACAAGUUUAGUGAGACGGAUAGAGUAUUAUAAUAUUGGAGUUAUUAAAAAUAAGUUGUAUAUUUUAUUAUGCUUCCUAGUUAUUAUUUUUUUAAUAAUAUUAUUUUACAUUAAUUACAUAAAUAAAAAAAAUUAAAUGUAUAAAAUCAUGCACAACGCAUGUAGUAUUAGAAAUUAAUAUAGGUUCGUCAUAUACUGAUAGAUAAGCAACCCGUCAGUAUAUUCCUACUUAUGUUAACAGAAUUUGAUCAUUGGUAAAAACAAACAUCAAUAUAUGACAAAUUAUUUUGUAAUGGUGGCAUGUAAACAUGUUGUGGACUCCCCCACUCUUUUUUUUUUUUUAAUUUCUCGAUGUAAACAUGCCACUAUUUUUAAGGUUUUAUUCACCUCAGUAUAAAUAUUGGUGUGUAAAAAAGUUACCAACAAAUAAAUCUUGAGAAUACAAUGAAGCUUAAUGAUUGACUGUGUUUUCAACUGAUAUGAAAACAAUCCACUAAAUACUAUAUAGCAAGAAUAUUAAUUUCUAUAAUAAAAAACUUCUGUAAUAUUUUUUUAUAAAAUAAUCUAUGAAUAUUACAAAAGGGUAGUACAAAAUGAAACUUUCUUUACAAAUUCUUAGUGUGUCUUCCAAAUGAAAUUUGACUUUCAUUUAUAAGAAUUCUUAUGUCUUCAAACAUAACUAUCUAAAUAAAUGUCCAUAUCGAUAUUUGCAUAUCUUUGCAAUAGUCAUUACUAUUCUAAUAGGUAUCUAUUUAAAUGAUCAUAACUUAAAUAAUUAAGUAGAGGUGAACAAAAUUUGAUUUGACUCGAAAAAAUGAAUUCUUUUUCAAAUUUGAGUAACUCGAAUUUGGUUAUUUGGUUUUUCAAAUAAACUUGAAUAAGUGAUUCAGUUUCUCAAGAUUGAUACGAGUUGAAUUUUACAACUUAAAUAACUAGAAUAAUUCGAAUAACUCAAAUUAAAAAUUGGUGUAAAUACCUCCUAGGUCCCUAUCAAUUUCAAAAUUGAGCAAAUUGGUCCAUUGUAAACAAAUUUACAAAAAACUUCAAAAUAAUCUUCAAAUUUUUCCUUGUGUUGGUUGUUGACUACGAAGCAUGAAGCAAUGAAUGCAAGCUCCUCCUGAGCUUGAUUUUCUUCAGCAGCUUGAGCCUGAUUAGGCUAUUGCUGCUGCACUUUGUUUUUACAAAUUCUAAAAUCAUGGCUAAAUUGCUUACAAUUUUUACACUGCACCCCAAGUCUUGUCCAACAAAACUUUUUUGAAUAACCCAUCUUCCUGCAAUUCGAGCAUGGUGGAUAUUUUUUCUUUUCACAAUCUCUUUUUGGCCUAUCUUUUUCUUGAUUCCAUUUCUUCUUGCCUUUGUUGCUUGAAGAACAUGGAGUUCCCUUGUUUCUUGCUUGGUAAGCACCUUCUGCAUGCCCCUCUUCUCUACUUGCUUUUCUUUGCUCUUGUGCAUAUAGAGCAUUUAUGAGCUUUAACAGAGAGAUUGUUGUCAAGUUCCUCAAGUCCUCCAAGGAUGAGAUCUUGGACUCAUACUUCUCAGGCAACGUUGUGAUGACUUUUUCAACGACCCUUUGAUCACUGAACUGAUCUCCAAGCAGCCUUAUAUUGUUGACAAUGGUCAUGAUCCUCUCUACAUAUUGCUUGAUAGUUUCAAUUUCUUUCAUCUUCAGGUUCUCAAAGUCUCUUCGCAGAUUCAAAAAUUAUUGUCGUAUUGUCUUCUUCGUCCCUUGGAACUCCUCAUUCAAUUUAUCUCAGGCUUGUUUGUGUGUUUCACAAGCCAUAAUUCUUGUGAAAAUAACAUCAGACACACCAUUCUGAAGGCAAGACAAAGCCUUAUACUUUUUAACAACCUCAUCACUGUGUUGUCUAAUUUGAGCUAUCGUUGGAUUAGCUCGCAACAAUGGUGGUUCUCUGUCUGAAUCAACAACUUCCGACAAAUCAUAUGUCUGAAGAUACAUCUUCAUCUUCAUUACCCAAAUAUGGUAGUUUUCUCUAGCAAAAAUAGAAGGUGGAGGUGGUGUAAAACUUCUAAACGACAUUGCAAUACAAACAAGAUACAAUCGACACUCUUUUCAAUAAGAAAAAAAAUACACACAAGGCCCUUAAAGACUUUGGCUCUUGACACCAAUUGUUGGAGUUUAGAGAAGUUGAGAGAAUAAAACAAGGAAAAAUACUUAGCAAAAUUUUUACUACUAUAAAUUUUUUACUCAUCAUCAUUUCCUUUACACAUGAAAUACAAUAUAUAUGGGUGUAGUGGUUAUAAAGAAUUCAACAAACCCCACUAAAACAAUUUGUAAAUACAAAGAUGAAACUUAUACAUAAACUGAUUAGGUAAAAGUCAGUACCUAAAAAUGUCUCUGCUUACUUUAACAAGUAAUCUCAACAAGCAGACUAAUUACAAAAUAUCACCAACAAAAUAUGCCAACCCUUCUUGUAAUACAUUUGGGAUUCGGCAACAACUCAUAAUAGCUCGCAUUUGACUUAGCAAGCAACUUGAGUUGAGCUUGCACUUUUGGUUGAGCUUGCAGCUUUAGGUGAGCUCGCAAAUGUAGAGCUUACAGCUUCGCGGGAAGAGUUCGCCAUUGCAUGAAUGGCCACUUCGCAACAAGCUUGAUUCCCAAUCAAAUACGUGAACAUGCUGCUUCGGUUCAUAUGACACUCUGCCAGGCAAUAGGCAAGCCGUCCACAAAUUGUAAUUUCAAUGGUUUGUUAUAAAAUUUGGACAUCACAUAUAUAAUAAGGGUAAUUACAUGUUAUUAUUUACUAUCAUAAUAGGAUAGCCCAAAUUAAAAGUGAUCUAAUUUUGUUAAGGUUUAUUGGGCUUUAGUUAUUAAAUAAAGUAUGUGUCAAAUAUGUGUAGAUAUUCUAGUAACUAACUUCUAAUUAAAGAUGGGUUGAUUAGAAAUUAGGGUUAAUAUGCAAAAGUGAUGUAUUAGGGUUAUGGUCCUCAAAUUACACAUAAGAUAACUUUUCUAAUAUUACAUCUUUAGAAAAGAAAGAGCACAUUCUCUAGAUUACAUAUGUGCUAAUUUGGAAGGUUAAAACAGCAAGAACCGUAGAUUUCAAGAAAUUGAUGAAUUCAGGUACGUUUUCGCAUCUAGUUUUGUUCUUGAUUUAUUUUUGAUGAUUUGACAUAAUAUAUCCUGAUUUAUGGUUUGUUAAGUUUUAUAUCAGAUAUUAUUUUACAGUUCUAGUAAGUGGCAUCCGAGCCUCGUCAUGUUAAAUCAUUAAGAACGAAUUGAUUCUUUAUUAUUAUUGGAUUGGUUCUUUUUUGAAAUUUUAUAGAUUUGAUAUCUUAAUUUUUGAUUAUAAUAUUGAUGUUUGAGAUUUGAAGUUUUUUUAGGUUUUUGAUUAUUAUAUUGAAACUUUGGGGUUUAUGAAUAGUGAUUGAAAUAUUUGAAUGUUAUUGGUUUGGUAUGAAUUGCUUUAGUGCAAUCCACAUGAAUUAUUUUGGCUAAAUUGAAGUUUAUCUAUGGGAAUUAUUAAUCAAUAUAUAUACUUUGGAUGUAUUAAUUGAUUUGGUGAUUAGCCCUCAUACAAUACUCUGAUAUAGUUGAGUAGAAUAAUUUGGUGCAAGUAAAAUUAUGGCUUAAGUUAUGAGCUUUUAAUAUUUAUUAUGCUUUUACAUUUGGUUUUGGACUCAGAAGCAUAAUGCGAUUAGCAAUUCUGAUUCAAAUAUGAGUGAAGAAUAUACUUACAGGUUACUGCUUUUAUUUGCUUUAUAUAAAUUUUAAAACAAAAUUACAAAUUGCCACAUUCCAAGCACACGAAUUCAGGGUCCUAUAUUGAACAUUUUAAAAGGCAUUCAGAUUCAAAUAAUUUGCGGUGCUUGUUCGUUAGCUAAAAUAAGCCUUUACUUACUACAAAGAUAUAUUCUUUACAACGAUUGCAUGAACUCACUACACUAAAACAGGCUUUUAGCGGCGUUUUUAGCGGCGUUUGGAUAAAAAACGCCGCUAAUGAUCGAUCAUUAGCGGCGCAUUACGGAAAACGCCACUAAAAAAAAGCAUUAGCGGCGUUUUUGAGAAAGCGCCGCAAAAAACCUAAGCCUAAUGACGCCGUUUUCUGAGCUUUCAGAGAUUUAGCGGCGUUUUUGGUAAAGCGCCGCUAAUGCCCAGGGCUUUAGCGGCGUUUUUGGAAAAGCGCCGCAAAAAAACCUAAGCCUAACGACGCCGUUUUCUGAACUUUCAGGGAUUUAGUGGCGUUUUUGGUAAAGCGCCGCUAAUGCCAGGGCUUUAGCGGCGUUUUUGGAAAAGCGCCGCAAAAAAACCUAAGCCCAACGACGCCGUUUUCUGAGCUUUCGGGGAUUUAGCGGCGUUUUUUUAAAAGCGCCGCUAAAAAUAUUUUAUCUUAAUUGGUUUAUUCAUAUUAAAUAAAUUUCAAUUUAUUUCUAAUUGAAUAUUUAAAAUCUUCAGAAAAAAAUUAUGACACGUAGAAAUAAUUUGAAAUAAAACACAUGGAAAAUUUAAAAUAUUAUUAUUUAAAAUAAUUGUAAAAGAGAUAAUAAUAAAAUUGUUUAGGGUUUUUGGUUUAGGGUAUAUGAUUUAUUUAAGAUUUAAGACCGGUUUAAGAGUUCAUAUAUUAAGGUUUAGGGAGUAUGGGUUUAGGGAUUAUGGAUUAGGGGUCGUGAUUUAAGGUUUAGGGGUUAGAGGGUUAGGGGUUUAGGGAUUAAAAGUUAGGGAUUCUUGGGUCGAGUUAGAGUUUUGGGUUUAGAUUAAUUAUUUUUUAAUUUUUAUUUUAAAUAUGUUCUUAUAUAAUUGUAGAAGAGAUAAUAAUAAAUUUGUUUAGGGUUUUUAGUUUAGGGUAUAUGAUUAAUUUAAAAUUUCAAGCCGAAUUAGGAGUUCAUAUUUUAAGGUUUAGGGAGUAUGGAUUUAGGGGUUAUGAAUUAGGGAUUAUGGUUUAAGGGUUGGGAUUUAAGGUUUAGGGGUUAGGGGUUAGAUGUUAGGGGUUAAGAGUUAGGGAUUUAAGGUUUAGGGAUUCAGGGGUCGAGUUAAGGUUUUGAGUUUAGAUUAAUUAUUUUUUAAUUUAUAUUUUAAAUAUGUUCUUAUAUAAUUGUAAAAUAGAUAAUAAUAAUAAUAAAUCAAAUAUAUUGAAAUUAUGAGUAUGGUUUAAAUUAUUUAAGAGAUAUAUAAUAGAUAGAUUUUAUAUGUAUUGAAUGGUUAAUUUAGAGGGUUUAAGGUUAAGGUUUACUUGAGAUUUGUUAAAUGAUAAAAUUUUAUACAAUUAAUUAAUGCUUUUAUAUUUAAAAAAAUGUAAUCUAAACCAUUUGAUAUAUUUAAAUUAGUUUAAAUAGAAUUAAUAAAUAAGUUAAAAAAAGUAAUAGAUUGAUAUGGAUAUUUAUGUAUAAUUAUUUAUUUUGGAGAGGAACAAAUUAUAAGAAAAAAAUACAAAAAUAAAAAUGAUAUGGAUAUAUAGGUAAUUAUUUAAUNNNNNNNNNNNNNNNNNNNNNNNNNNNNNNNNNNNNNNNNNNNNNNNNNNNNNNNNNNNNNNNNNNNNNNNNNNNNNNNNNNNNNNNNNNNNNNNNNNNNNNNNNNNNNNNNNNNNNNNNNNNNNNNNNNNNNNNNNNNNNNNNNNNNNNNNNNNNNNNNNNNNNNNNNNNNNNNNNNNNNNNNNNNNNNNNNNNNNNNNNNNNNNNNNNNNNNNNNNNNNNNNNNNNNNNNNNNNNNNNNNNNNNNNNNNNNNNNNNNNNNNNNNNNNNNNNNNNNNNNNNNNNNNNNNNNNNNNNNNNNNNNNNNNNNNNNNNNNNNNNNNNNNNNNNNNNNNNNNNNNNNNNNNNNNNNNNNNNNNNNNNNNNNNNNNNNNNNNNNNNNNNNNNNNNNNNNNNNNNNNNNNNNNNNNNNNNNNNNNNNNNNNNNNNNNNNNNNNNNNNNNNNNNNNNNNNNNNNNNNNNNNNNNNNNNNNNNNNNNNNNNNNNNNNNNNNNNNNNNNNNNNNNNNNNNNNNNNNNNNNNNNNNNNNNNNNNNNNNNNNNNNNNNNNNNNNNNNNNNNNNNNNNNNNNNNNNNNNNNNNNNNNNNNNNNNNNNNNNNNNNNNNNNNNNNNNNNNNNNNNNNNNNNNNNNNNNNNNNNNNNNNNNNNNNNNNNNNNNNNNNNNNNNNNNNNNNNNNNNNNNNNNNNNNNNNNNNNNNNNNNNNNNNNNNNNNNNNNNNNNNNNNNNNNNNNNNNNNNNNNNNNNNNNNNNNNNNNNNNNNNNNNNNNNNNNNNNNNNNNNNNNNNNNNNNNNNNNNNNNNNNNNNNNNNNNNNNNNNNNNNNNNNNNNNNNNNNNNNNNNNNNNNNNNNNNNNNNNNNNNNNNNNNNNNNNNNNNNNNNNNNNNNNNNNNNNNNNNNNNNNNNNNNNNNNNNNNNNNNNNNNNNNNNNNNNNNNNNNNNNNNNNNNNNNNNNNNNNNNNNNNNNNNNNNNNNNNNNNNNNNNNNNNNNNNNNNNNNNNNNNNNNNNNNNNNNNNNNNNNNNNNNNNNNNNNNNNNNNNNNNNNNNNNNNNNNNNNNNNNNNNNNNNNNNNNNNNNNNNNNNNNNNNNNNNNNNNNNNNNNNNNNNNNNNNNNNNNNNNNNNNNNNNNNNNNNNNNNNNNNNNNNNNNNNNNNNNNNNNNNNNNNNNNNNNNNNNNNNNNNNNNNNNNNNNNNNNNNNNNNNNNNNNNNNNNNNNNNNNNNNNNNNNNNNNNNNNNNNNNNNNNNNNNNNNNNNNNNNNNNNNNNNNNNNNNNNNNNNNNNNNNNNNNNNNNNNNNNNNNNNNNNNNNNNNNNNNNNNNNNNNNNNNNNNNNNNNNNNNNNNNNNNNNNNNNNNNNNNNNNNNNNNNNNNNNNNNNNNNNNNNNNNNNNNNNNNNNNNNNNNNNNNNNNNNNNNNNNNNNNNNNNAUGUUAGUUCUUUUAUAGAUACUGUUUUGAGUUUUCUUUUUCGUCUUUAAUGGAUUGGGUGUUAAGGAUUGUUGGAGUCUUGCUGAAUUGUUUUGCUUUGUGCUGAAGAACCUCAAUAAAAUCAUUGUGCUUUGUUAAUCUUGACUUUUGUUAAUCUAAAAUUUUUAUUUUUAUUAUGAAAUAAAACUGGUAUUUGUUCUUUGUGUAACUAGGUGAAUUAUAUUAUAGAACUCUUAACUAUUUUUAAGUCUAACAACUGAAUAAUGAAACAGAACUGUAUUUAAUUUGUUGUGGCUUACAGAGAGUUUGGUUUGAUUUGUUUUCUUCAUUUAACUACAAUAAAUUGAUUCAGUAUAAACUUCCGUUAAAAUCUUGCUGAAUUUAACUGAUUACACUAAUUUUUAAGUGAACGCAUGAUCAGGAAGGUGUUUAAGUUGGCACUGAGUUAUUUGGUAAUAGCCAUAUCUCAUGGAGUUGGUGUGUUGUUGAGUUAUUCGCACACUAUCUUUUGGGAAUAUUCAAACUUCCCUUUCUUGUUUGGUUUCUAUUAAUUGCGGGUUAGAGAUGUUGUGGAAGUAAAUAAAACGUGUAUCCUGAUGUGCAGUGUUUAGUGUUGUGUGGUUGAAUGUAUNNNNNNNNNNNNNNNNNNNNNNNNNNNNNNNNNNNNNNNNNNNNNNNNNNNNNNNNNNNNNNNNNNNNNNNNNNNNNNNNNNNNNNNNNNNNNNNNNNNNNNNNNNNNNNNNNNNNNNNNNNNNNNNNNNNNNNNNNNNNNNNNNNNNNNNNNNNNNNNNNNNNNNNNNNNNNNNNNNNNNNNNNNNNNNNNNNNNNNNNNNNNNNNNNNNNNNNNNNNNNNNNNNNNNNNNNNNNNNNNNNNNNNNNNNNNNNNNNNNNNNNNNNNNNNNNNNNNNNNNNNNNNNNNNNNNNNNNNNNNNNNNNNNNNNNNNNNNNNNNNNNNNNNNNNNNNNNNNNNNNNNNNNNNNNNNNNNNNNNNNNNNNCUGCAUCUGUGAAACAAUGCAAUUCAUAAAGUUUUCUGAUUAUUUUCUUUAAUACAAAGAUACUUAACAAAUUUUAUGCUUACCUUGAUUGAAGCUUCUUGUACGGAUAUGAACAAGUCUUUAGCUGAUGGGAUGUUGGAUGUACCUUGCUUAGAAGAAAAUAAAAAGAAAAAAAAGGAGAAAUCAUAGGGAAAAGAAUCAAAACAUAAAAUAUGAUGAGAAUAGAUAGGCAUAGGCCCUUCCAUAUAAACCUUUAUUGGGCUAUUGCUGAUAAUUAUAAUUCGACAACUCAACGAUGAUGUUCCUUACUUUUGGAGAUAACCGAGAAGUGGAACAUGGUUUGUCUGUAAAAUUGCAAGUUCAAAAGUUAAUUCUCCAAGCUACAUCACAUGAAAAUUUGUGCCAGAACUAUGUUGGGUAUGAUGCUCUGCUAUUUCACUGCUUUCCUUGUUUAUAUUUGUGGUGCAUGUCUGUCUUUAUAUGUGUUCUAGAAUUUUGUUGAAGGGUAUAUAUUGGAUUUUUAUUUACAUAGUAGGAUAUUAAAAUGACAAACAGGAAGGCACCUCAACAUAUUUUGAGUUUGUUCCUAUUCUUCUCUUUUUCUUUUUUAGGUUUGAUAUUCUGUUCAAUCUUUGUCAAGUAUCGGGCAAGUCCAGUUGGUGUCCAUUAGACUUAUUCACAUAUGAUAUAUAAAUUUUAUGCUUGCUGUGGAUGGGUAGUGCCCUUUGAUAAAGUUAAUGAACUCACUCACUCACUCACUAACUAUUCUUGACAUUUCCAUGCUCAUUUGCUGCAGGUGGCGUCCUUUUUGGUGAUCUCAAGAACAAAAAAGAAAUGGUAUAUUUGUGCAUAACAUUUUGUAUACAUCUGUAAUUUAUGUGUAUAUAAAGUAUAUAUUACAGAUAUCUCGUCUCUUUCUGGCCUUGUGUUGCAUACGCAUUAUUUUAAAUUAAUAAUUUUUUACAGUUUUCUCACGUUUAUUCUCAUCAACUACAUACGACCCCGUGAGGUUAAUCAAAAUUUACUUUUUUCGAUAAAGGAUUUUUUUUUCAUACAUUUUUAAUUGGUUCAUAGAUAAAAAGAUUUUACAUUUUACAAAGGUUACAUUUAGAUUUUUAAUUUUGUUUAUAAAAUUUUUACAUUUUACAUUUACAUUUUACAAAGCUUCAGCAUAGGGUGUAACUUAAUUUUUUUGCAAAUGAAAGUUUAUGGUUGUAUGUUUUUUGCAAAAAAAUACUGGUAUAGUUUUUACUCUGAUUAGCUGUAGUUAUUUUUGUGUUAUAUUUACAGUCUUUAAAAUUAUUAGAAUAUGUAGUAGGUACUGCAUAUUAUGCAUAAAAUUUAUAACCAACAUUGAUAACAAGAUGGGAAAUGUUCGAGUUACUGUCUCUCUCCAAAUAUUUCACUGUAAAAAUUGUUUUACUGCAGUUUGAAAGGUGCCAAAGUCGGCCUUUGCAUUGUGGUGUGCAUUAGACAUCACGAAAUAGAAUUUAGUAAAAGCAUUGAAUCAUAUUUCACUUAGCAUUUCAAGGAGUUUGAGUAAUAGGAGUUGAAUGGUGGCAUUGCUUAUAGAAAAUUAUGAGUGCCAGAAGAUUGAUAUACUUUUUUAAGCCAAAUUGAAUGUGACAUUGCCUAGACCCCUAAGUACACAUGUAAACAUUUUGUUUAAUUAGAGUUUUGUCAACAGUAAAAAAGGCCCUUACAUCUCUAAGCUCCCCCUCCCCCUCCCUUAAGAGGAAUAUAUUGUGUCCUCAUUUUCCGAAGCUGCACAAGGUCAAAGGUGAAAGUAUCAUGAUAACCAAGCAUUAACGGUGUAGCUUUUCUUUGGUACUGUUGUCUGACUCACAUUUCUCUUUGAAAUCCUUGGGUUGAAUUUUAUCUUGCAGGUAGAUUAUGCAUGCACACUUGAAGAAGUGCAGUAGCAUUAAUUCUCUGCAGGAAGAUUCCUAGAUUGAGGCUUAUAUGCAAAAUGUGAGUUAUGGAUCUGGAGAAGGGAAUGAUAGGCUGCUUAUAUGCAAAAUGUGAGUUAUGGAUCUGGAGAAGGGAAUGAUAGGCUGCUUCUAUGCAAAAUGUGAGUUAUGGAGUUGGUUUUCCUUUUAAACAUUACUUUGAAUACAUUGCAGGUUGUUCCAACACAAUAUAAAGUAAUGGAAAAAAACAAAGAAAUAACAUGAUGCAUAAGAAAUAUAUAAAAUAUAUUAGUGAGGAUUAGGUAGAUAGAAAUGCCAUCAAGAAGUAUGCUGCUUGUGUUGACCAUUUGUGAUUUGAACUUGCCUAAUGUGUUAUAGGUUUAGCAUUUUGUUUCUUCUACUGAAAUUUUAAUAUUUUCUUCAUAUUUCCUUGUUGGUUAAAUCUGUUUAUAAUGUUUUUUAUUUUAUUUUAUGUAUUUACAUUUCUUUUUUGACUUGUUACAGAUAUGGUUUAUGAAUUGCUGCGCAUAUCAACCCAGUAUGUCUAGAAUCUAUUUAUUUUCUUCUUUUCUUAUAUUAUACAGCUUUCUGUUCCAAUUUAGAAAUUUUCUGACUAUUUCAAACCAGUGCAACAAAUUAAAUAAAAUGAUGGUUAUCAAGUAAGACAUUUUCCAUAGCCUGUAAUAGUUUGUUAUAGUUAUACAUGGUAGGAAUUAAGCUUUUCAUUUAAAAUGUGUCUAUUUGGUUUUCCACUGAAGUGUCACCACAGCAUAUAGUAGGGUUUAUGGCUUUAUGAACUUAUGCUUUUAGGUACUGCACGUUCAUUUUGAUUGGUUUGUUUGAUUUUGAGGCNNNNNNNNNNNNNNNNNNNNNNNNNNNNNNNNNNNNNNNNNNNNNNNNNNNNNNNNNNNNNNNNNNNNNNNNNNNNNNNNNNNNNNNNNNNNNNNNNNNNAUCAAUGUUUAGAUGAAUGUUUGGAUUGGGGGCAUAAUUAAACUUUAUGGUUGAGGCUGACAUGAUUUUCUCUUUGUAACAGGUCAAUGAGUUCAAGUCUAUAGAAAAGUUUAAAAUUUUCAAUACAAACAAUUUGUAAGUCAUAUUGCCUUAACAUGUUAGAAUUGUCUAUUUGGCUUAGUACUAACAGUCAAUGUUACAAGUGGGUCAACGUGAAUGCUAUCAAGAGGCUUUUGGAACCUGAUGCACUCAAGAUGGAGAUCAUUCCAAACCCGAAGGUUUGUAUCACUUUCUUACCAUGUCGUCUCUGGUGGAUUUCUGAUUUCUAAAUUAUAAAAUUGGCUGCAGGUGGUCAAUGGAAUCAAGGUUCUUCAACUGGAAACUGCAGUUGGUGCAGCAAUUAGGGUAGAAAAUUGUACCAGUUAUGGUUAUGAUGUAUUAAAAUGUAAAAAGUUCUGUCUAACCAUGUGUUUUCCGUACGUGAUUAAGUUUUUUGAUCAUGCUAUUGGUAUCAAUGUACCUCGAUUGUGAUUCCUUAUGUCUUAUUCAUGAAUUUUCAUUUUAAUACGUUUUCAAAUUAAAUUAUACAUUUAUAAAUUGGAUUUGUGACGUUUCUAUAAUAUUUUUUUUAUUUUUUAUGAUCUUUAGCGGCGUUUUUGGAAAAAGCGCCGCUAAAGGUCAGGUUUUUUAGCGGCAUUUGUGGGAAAAGCGUCGUUAAAGAACCUAACCUUUAGUGGCGUUUUUGGGAAAAGUGCCGCUAAAGGUCAUGUUCUUUAGCGGCGUUUGUGAAAAAAGCGUCGCUAAAGAUCAUGUUCUUUAGCGGUGUUUGUGGAAAAGCGCUGCUAAAGAUCAUAUUCUUUAGCGGCGUUUUUUCAAAUAAACGUCGCAAAAGUUAGCGACGUUGUCAAUAGUGGCAUUUUUUGCGGCGCUUUAGCGGCGCUAAUAAACGCCGCUAAAGACCUAAAAAAACACCGCUAAAAGCCUGUUUUGGUGUAGUGACUAGUAAGACUCUUUGAACUGGAAUUGGGUGUGGUUCGCCAAGCCCAAGCAAUACUGCAAAACCUGGGCAACGAUCGUGAACCUCAGUAGCAAGAUACCUUUAUGGACUCUCCCACUCAAAAAAUAAAUUUAAUAUCAUGUGAUCCAAUGGACCACGUAUCAGAUAUUAAACUGAUAAGAACAGAUACUACACUUGAUCUUAGCCAAAAGGCCGAGAAACGUAUGCUUUCAUUCAGCAAGCAUCGGGCAUUUUAAAUUCUGCUUCUCGCUUGUUCUUACGUACUCUUUAUGAUGUGGGAUUUUAUGCAAAUCAGUUACAAGAGCCGCCUACUGGUGCUCCUAUAAAGAUUGAACCCUUCCUGAAUAGACUGAUUCUGGGCUACUUACGAUUUGAUUCAACAACCAAGGUACCAUACAACAAGAAAACAACUCUCCUAACCACCAAAACUUUGAAAAACAAACACUGCAUUUGCAAUUUAUAAAUCAAACCAGGAAUAGGAUUAUGGCUUUGCUCAAAGAAGCAGCAAUGGCAAAAGCAUUAGUUGUAUCUAUGUUGAACUGGAAGUCCUUGUACAACAUUGUUUCCAGGAUAGAAGUCUUCCGCUUUGGAUCAUUGCAGACGGACCUUCCCAUAACAAACAGUACACAGUUCUGUAUCAGACACCUUUUCUUUCAUUGUAAAAAGCAAGUUUAGCUUGAAUCCCAAUCAAAUACGUGAACAUGCUGCUUCGGUUCGCAUGUGACACUCUUCCAUGCAAUAGGCAAGCCAUCCACAAGUUGUAAUUUCAAUGGUUUACUUUCUUCCUUGUUUCCGUCUCCCAUAUCUUUUGUUUUAUUAUUCUUUUCUAUUCUACAGCUUAGGACUUCACAAUUUUUGUCAUUUUCAUGGAGAAUGGGAGAAUAUAAGCUGACUCUGUUUUCAAGAUUUAUUAUUACAGAGUUCUUUCUUUUUAAUCUUCUUUUGAUAUUGACUCCUCUCAAGAUCCAUAUAUUUUGUUCUCCAUGAUAAGCUUACAUCUGUUUCAUGUCCAACGAUAUGUAAGGUCAGUACGCAAACCAGAAUCAAUUUUGCAAGAUAUCUUCGGUGAUUUCCAGACUAAAUUUAAAAAUUUCAAUAAAAUAUGAAGAAAUUGAUCACCUACCUAGGCUUUGAAAGAGCCUAAUAUUCUUCAUUAUUCUCACUCUAUAAAUACUCCAACAUCCUGUUUACAUCUCCACAGCUCAAAAACCUGUUCGAUCAUUUCAUAAAAUCAGUAGAAAAUAAUGGGUGUUUUCACAUACGAAUCUGAGAUUGUUACUGCAAUCCCACCAGCCAAGAUGUUUAAGGCUUGCAUCCUUGACGGGGACACUCUCAUUCCCAAGAUUGUUCCUCAGGUUUUUAAGAGUGUUGAGUACUUGGAAGGUAAUGGUGAGCCUGGGAGUAUCAGGAAGGUCACCUUUGCACAAGGUUAUUUAGCUUAUUUAUUUAACUUCAUAUUUUGAGCCAAAUCUAAUAUAUGAUUAAGUUUGAAGGAAAAAAGGAUGAAAAUGAUGUGGUUUUUGGACAUGUAUGUUGCAGGAAACCAAUUCAAUUACAUGAAACAGAAGGUAGAAGCAUUAGACACAGAAAAAUUUGAGUACAUUUACAGUGUGAUUGAAGGCGAUCCGCUGAUGAACAUGCUCGACAAAAUAACUUAUGAAAUAAAGUUAGAAGACUCUCCAGGUGGGGGAUCCAUAUGUAAGACUAGUAGUAAGUAUUACACCAUUGGUGACAUUGAGCUCAAGGAAGAGGCAAUCAAGGCAGGCAAAGAAAAGGCUUUGGGUGUAUUGUUCAAGUCCAUCGAAGCCUACCUCGUCGCAAAUACUAACGCCUAUUGAGAUUGCAUUCACUACAAUGAAUAUCAAGAAAUUGGCCUUCUCCUCUUCUAGCUUUUACUUCUGCAGCAAAUGAGCUUCAAAUUUCUAAUAAAGACUUCAUAGUUUGCCUGAAAUAAACAAAAGACCAGACAGUGUAUGUACUGAAUCUUGUUGUGUGAGAUAUUCAUUGAGAAUAAAGAGUUGGUCAUCUUUCAUCUGAAUAAUCCUUGUCCUAUUAACCACCUUUAGUCAUUAGUUGCAUAAGUUAAAUGUUAUAGAGCUGGCUCAUGGAUUAAACAUGUGUAGCUCAUAAUCCAUUUACUCAAGACAUUUACCUGAAAAUUUAACAAUUUCAGUUAUGAUUCUAUGAUCUGAAAUUUUUUCCUCUCAUGGUAUUUACUACUGCUAGAGGAUUCUGGAUUAGUCUUGCCAAUAAUUUCAACAAGACUCUUCAGUUUGUAUAUCUGUACUGAAAAAAAUCAGUAUGCAACACUCAACAUUAAGUCGGUAUUACAUAAUGCUAGAAUUGAUGAAUUAAAGGUACUCAUUGACUGCAGGAACCUGAUAACACGAUAGAAAAUGCAAGUGCUGAAGAUGGUUUUAAGUACCCAACAGUGAAAGCUCUAGGCUAUAAAAACUGAAAUGGGGUUAAAGUGAGUUUUUGGGAAAAUCCUAGGGACAAUUAAAGUAUAAGAUAUUCACCUUUUGUUCUAUCUUACAAGAAUAUAACCAUGUUAAAUUUGGCACAUAAAUCACUGAUCAACUGAAUUUCUGGAACCACGUACGGUGGCUGUAGUAACAUAAUAUUCAGGAUUUCAUGUUAAUACUUUUGCUGCAACAGGUUUAUUUCUAGAAAACUAACAAACUAUCACCGAAAGUUACUAUGUUGCUCUGACGAUUCAUUAUUCUUGAAGUACCCAUACAGCCAUACAUGGUACUUAUGUUAUCCGGACAUUAGUAUGGGGAUAUGAUCCUCAUAAGACUCUCUAGAUACAUGAAACACAUAAUAAAAUUGAAGAUAACUGUGUUAGAUCCAAGGUUUUGAUUGCUUAAAAUAUUAGUGAAUUAGAGUCUUUUCUUUUCAAUCUUCUUCAGAGUUCCAAUAAUAUUGGUCUCAUGAUUCAAUGAUUUGUUGGUUUAUGGUAAGCUUGAUGUUGUAUAUUGAAGAGAUAAGUAAGAUAUGUACACAAACCAGAAUCAUUUGAAAAUUUUUAGGUGCUUUUCUCAUGCUAAAGUACAAAAUUUCACUAAAUGGCAAAAAUCCCAUAAAAUAUAAAGAAAUCAACAAAGAUUCUAGAUGGCCUAAAACUCACAAACAGCUAAAUCUUGAAGCUGACACUAUAAAUACUACAAUUAUAUAUCAGAUAUGUACAUCAUCGGCAAACAUCAAACAUAUCCUCUGCAAAGUAACCAAAUCCCAAAUCACUUGAAAUCAUUUUCACAUAUGAAUCUGUGGUUAUUACAGUGAUCCCACCAGCGAAGAUGUUUAAGGCUUGCAUCCUUGAUGGUGACACUCUCAUUCCCAAGAUUGUUUCGUAGGAUUUUAAGAGUGUUGAGUACAUUGAAGGCAAUGGUGAGGCUGGUAGCAUCAAGAAGGUCACCCUUGGAGAAGGUCUGCUCAUUUAUAUAAUUUUGAAUCAUAUACAUAUAUGUACAUUAAGUCUGAAGGGAAAAGGGUGAAAGCUAUGUGUUAUUCUUCAUGCAGGAAGCCAAUUCAAAUACAUGAAGCAGAAGGUUGAAGCAAUAGACAAGGAGAAUUUUGUGUACAUUUACAGUGUGGUUGAAGGUGAUGCAUUGAUGAACAAGCUUGAGAAAAUCACUUACGAGACAAAGUUAGAGGCCUCUCCAGAUGGGGGAUCCAUAUGUAGGACUACUAGUAUUAUUAUACCAUUGGUGACUUUGAGCUCAAGGAGGAUGGAGUCAAGGCUGGCAAAGACAAGGCUUUGGGAAUAUUUAAGGCCAUUGAAGCGUACAUCCUGGAAAAUCCUAACGCCUAUUGAAAAUAUCCCAAUAUUGAGAUUGCAUCCACUGCAUGCAAUGAAUAUCAAACAAUUGCCUUCUUUCUUCUAGUUUUUGGUGUUGCAACAUACGACCUUUAAACUGCUAAUAAGAGUUCAUAGUUUGCCCUGGUUACCAGGAAGCUUGAACUGAAAUGUAAAGCAUGUAAUAAUCAGAAGAGCAUCCAAUGUAUUUUGUUGGAGUUUUUGUAAGAAAAAGAGGACACAAGACAAGGCAGCAAGAUACAAGAAAACAUUUUUACAUGCUCACAAAUGUGAGCAAGGGAGCUUAUGGCUUUUAGGUCAUUUUGCCCAUUAAUUCAACUAGAAAAAACAAUACAUUUAUAGCCAAAUACAUCACCAAAUACUACCUACUACCACUAAGUAGCCUAGUAACUUGAUAAACAUUGCUUAUACACAUAAACAAGUCACCUAAACUAGUCAUUCAACAUCUAAUGUAUCAAGUUGUCAUCAAUUUGUUCAUUUUCAACUAGUUUGAUUACAAUGAAACUAAACAAAAAAACCUUGUUGUUACAGCAAGCAUACGUGUUGCAACAUGUUUACAAGCUACAUGCACUUCAACCAAAAAUAUCAUAGCAGCAUGGUUGGCCAAUUUUCAACACUCCUCCUUGGACUCCAUGCUGCGAAUACCAAUCAUUCAACAAUUUUUAACUUGGCAAUCAAAAGAUGAUUUGUUUCAAGCUGAACCUGCUCAAGCAAUACAUUUUCAACCUUGGCCUCAUUUUCAACCAAAUCUGACUCACACAAUUGUCCAUACCAGUCUUUUGUGUCAAAUAUUUGUUCAUCAAAUGGAGUAUUCUCCUCCUUCACAGCCUUAGUUGACAACACAUCUUGUCUUGUUCCCUUGUUCAUUACAAUCCUAUUUCUUCUUGCAUAUACAGUUUGCGAGUAUAGUUUGCUUGCCUUCAGUCUGCUAUUUUGGCUUGCACCCACUCGAGCUUGCAUUUAGACUGACCGCCACUUCGGCUUGCAAUUUGAUAGGCUCACACUUUGACAGGCUCGCACUUUGCUUACUGUCUUCAACAGGCUUGCAACUUUACAACUUGCAUUGAGCUUCCACAUGUUGCUGAUCUCGUACCUUUGACAGACUUACAUAUUUGCAUACUGUCUUCAGCUGGUAUCUUCAAUAGGCUCGCAACUAUAUAGGGCUCGCACCUUUUGAUGAGCUCGCACCACUUGCUAAGCUCAGAGCUCGCACUUCUCGCUAAGCUUGUAGCUUUGACAUCUUGCUGAGCUUGCAGCUUGCACAUUUUUGCUGAGGUUAUAGCUUACACAUUGGAAAGCUUACAUACUUUCCUUGAAACUCCUCCUUCAGCUUAUUCAAGCUUGUUUGGGAGACUCACAGGGUUGAGCUAUUGUCGUCUUCUCAACAAGCAGUCUUAAAUGACAUGCUUUGGCAGCUUCUUUCUUUUUAACAAGCAGCGGAAGCAAAAUCUGUAACAUCUUGAUUUUGGGCAUAGUCGAAACAAUGGUUUCGGGACCACAAAUUCGAUGAGAAAAAAAUUAUUUUUACUAUAUUUUUAUGGCCUUUAAUUUCACGGAAUGAUUCCGUGAAAAUUUCGUUCAAAAAUUUCGACGUUUGGGCACUCAAUUUAGUCAAAAGGACUAAAUUGUAAAAAGUGCAAAAGUUGAGUUCUACAUGUUAGAGGUGUCCAAUUGUUAUGAAAUUUUAAAUUGGAGGUCUUUAUAUGGUAAUUAGACCAUUGGUUAAGUUAUGGACAAAAAUGGACAUGAUAUAAGUGAAAUAGGAAAUUUUUAAGUUAGGGGUAUUUUGGUAAUUUGGUAAUUAAAAUGAAUUAAAAGGGAAAAAGAUGGAAAAUUGUGCUCAUCUUCUUUAUUUGGCUGAAAUUAGCUAGGGGGAAAGCCAUAGUUAGGGUUUUCAGGCUUCCAAGCUCCAUAUUAAGUUAUCCCAAUCCCCGUUUUUAAUGUUCUUUACGUUUUUGAAGCUCCGGUAACUUGAUUUAGCUUAUUCUAGCAAUAAUUUAACCUAGAGUUCAUAUUUGGAAAAGUACCCAUAGGUGAUAUGUGUUUGUUUUGAUGUUUUAUGGUAGAAUAUGAAGUCUUUAAUUAUGUUAAACAAUUUGUGCUAAGCGAUUUUAAGUGAAAACGAGUAAAAUGACAUAAUCGGUAAAAAUACCUAAUGUUCAUAAGUAAGUGUUAGAAUGGGAAUUUGAUGUUACCAUGGAAGGGAGAAAUGUUCUGCAUGUUAUAAAACAUAAGAAUAUGGGAUGAAGUUUAAUUUCCGAGCUUUAGGGCAAAAGUGUAAAUAUGUAAAAGUUUAGGGGCAAAAUCAUAAUUUUGCCAAAGUUAGAGUCGAGGGAUGUUUUGAUAAAUGUGAGUAUUAAAUAAACUAAAUUUUCUAUUAUAGAUAAAUAAGAACGAAAUCUAGGGUUAGACCGAGUAAAGAAAAAGGUUGAAGACUAAGUUGAUAGAUUUGGCCAUAUUUUGUACCAAGGUAAGUUUACGGUAAAUAAAUGUAAUAUUUUGAUAAUUAUUAUUAAUGGUGUUGUUUUUCAGCAAUUAUGUAUUUAUUUCAUGAAAAUAUCUAAUGUUCGACUUAAGUAUGAGAUGACAGAGAAUCAGCGAUAAAAGCCCCGUUGAAACAUUGGGAAUGUAUCGGAUACAAAUGUCAUGACAUUAAGGGAAUGAGAUCCCAUGUAAAACCAUGUCUGGGAUAUGGCAUUGGUAUCAUUGAGAUUAUGAGAGGUCUCAUGUAAGAGCAUGUCUGGGACAUGGCGUUGGCAUCGAGAUGAGAGGUCUCCCGUAAGACCAUGUCUGGGACAUGGCAUGGGCACCGAUAUGAGAAGUCCCAUGUAAGACCAUAUCUGGGAUAUGGCGUUGGCAGUACAAGAAACAUCUCAUGUAAGACCAUGUCUGGGACAUGGCUUUGGAAUGUUAUUAUCAGAAAAGAGACCCAAGUAUCCUUAUUAUUCCAAUGUGGCUAACGGGCUAGUAAACAAAUUAUGUUCCAUGAAAGUUCAGGUAAAAGCAUAAAUAGCAAAUUCAGGUGAGUUAUAAGAGUUAAGAACAUAUUAUGUUAUCAAUUGAGAACCAACAUUUCAGCAAGAGAAGAGUAAGUUAUAAUCAUGAGUUAUCUAAGUAAACAAGUAAGUGAACGAGUAAGAGAGUAAGUAAAGAGGAAAUUAAAGAUCAUGACAUUUGAGUAUAAUUAUUUGUGUUAAAUGUUGUUAUUUAUUUGCUUGUAAACUUACUAAGCUUUAUGCUUACUUCUUUUAUUUUCCUUCUUUUAUAGUAUUGCAAAGCUAAUUCGGGGAUCUUAAAGACGUCGGAGAGCGCUCACACUAUCAACAACAACAACUCGGUAUUUUAUGAUGAUCAAUGUUUAAGCUAUGGCAUGUAUAGGGACUCAGUCAUUUUGAAUGUAUGUCCUUAUGAUAUUGCUAAAGGAUGAUGUGUAAAUAUGUGAUAAUGUUUAGCUAUUAAAAUGGCUAAGUAAGAAUAUGUUUGGUAUUAUGAAUGCCUAGAUGAAAGUUUAUACCUAGAAAUUAUGAAAGAGUAAAAAUUUGCAAUGAAACAGUUUUGGGACAGCAGCAGUGAUUUUGAAAAAUCACCAAGGAUAGUAUAAAAUGAAUUAGAGAGUGAAUGAUAUAUAUAAUUAAAGCUUAUCAAGUCUAUUUUCAUAGAAAAAUAACAGUGUGGGUAAAGGAAUUUUAUAUUCUGAGAUAUUUGAAUUUUGGUUAGACAGGGUCAGAAUGGUUUUUGGAGUCCCCUGUUCUGACUUUAGAAAAUCAUUAAAAAUUGUACAAAAAUAAUUAAGAGUUAUAAUUUAUAUGUCUAGAUUCCUUAGUGAUCCUAUUUUCUGUAGAAACAAGUGAGAACACCAUAUGAAAAUAACACAAUGAGAAAAUUUAUUUUUAGUGAAUAAAGGUCAGAACCGUCAGGCAGUGAAACAUGGGAGACUUUAAUGAAUAAACUAUACUAAUUGGCUAAACCAAAAAUUCUGAAAAUUUUCUGGGAAGAUAAUAUAUGAGUCUAGUUUUAGGGAAAAUUUACAGAUCUAAAUUUAGAGUUUUUUAACUCGAGUUAUAGUUAAAUUAGUGACUACUUCGCAGGUGCACAACAUUAUGGUGAACAGUGAAAUAAAUUUUAAAAGUAAAUUUUUAUGCCCCGAACUAAUAAGUUAAGUCAAGUAAAGCCCCAUGCUCAACUCUAGCAAUGGUCUCAGGUAAGGGGUGUUACAAAAUCAAUGGCCCUUAAAGACUUAGGCUCAUGAUACCAAUUGUUGGAGUUUUUGUAAGAGUAAAGGAAGAAAAAUAGGACACAAGACAAGGCAGCAAGAUACAAGAAAACAUUUUUUCUUGCUCACAAAUGUGUAGCAAGGGAGCUUAUGGCUUUUAGCUCAUUUUGCUCAUUCAUUCAACUAGAAGAAACAAUACAUUUAUAGCCAAAUAAAUCACCAAAUACUACCUACUACCACUAAGUAGCCUAGUAACUUGAUAAACAUUGCUUGUACACAUAAACAAGCCUCCUAAAGUAGUCAUUCAACACCUAAUGUAUCAAGUUGUCAUCAACUUGUUCAUUUUCAACUAGUUUGAUUACAAUGAAACUAAACAAAAAAAAAA
rnacentral:lncRNA from 1 species